CCCUUUUCCCCUAUCACUAGACCCUCCUAUUCCAUUCCUCAAUCAUCUUCAGACCACCAAUCAACUUGGAAACCACCUAGAGAUUCAAUCAUUAUCUUUCUCUUUGAAACACAUCAAAGAUUAUUUGGAUUUUGUAUUACUAAUAUAAUGGCCUAAGGCUGGGUUGUUUAGGGUUAAUGUUUUUCGAUGAAGGUUUUAGCCUUUUAGGGAUUUCUUUUGUUCAGAUAUGAAUAAAUGGCGUGGCGAGGUUGAUGAUUCAAGCCUAAAAGCUUUGAUUACUCAUACAGCAAGCGAGAAGAGAAUCGAAACCCAGAAGUGUGGGGUUUUUCGGCAGAGCUUCUGCAAUUUCCGGUCAUCGUUGGGGCUUCAUGAGGUACGAAGACAGUGCCUAAUUGUGUUCUACAUAUUGGUAUAGUUGAAUUUGAAUUUGGUUGGGAGUUGAUUUAUUAGUGCUUUGGUGUUAUCGGUCACUAUAAUUUCUGGGUAUGAAGAGUUAGGAUUGAAUAGUUUAUCAGGGUUCUAUAUCAAGUAUUAUUGUUAGAAAGUUGUGUUACUUUGAGUUGGUUUAUGAAAUGCGAUAAAGAUUAAACAAACAAACUUUUCUAGGAUUUGAGUCUUAUUGAGUUUUUAUGAUUGGUGUUGUAGGUCGUCAUCCGACUAUCCGAGGGAGGGAGAGAAAAAUUAUAUUGUGGGUUGUCGGAGGAGAAAGAGGGGAUAUGGGCCCUUGGAGGAGGAGGAGGAAGGGGAGAGAGAGAGAGAGAGAGAGAGAGAGAGAGAGAGAGAGAGAGUAGUAGUGNNNNNNNNNNNNNNNNNNNNNNNNNNNNNNNNNNNNNNNNNNNNNNNNNNNNNNNNNNNNNNNNNNNNNNNNNNNNNNNNNNNNNNNNNNNNNNNNNNNNNNNNNNNNNNNNNNNNNNNNNNNNNNNNNNNNNNNNCACUAUUGCUAUGUUUUAUAAAGUUCAUUCACCUUAAUUAUCAGUGACUCAUACUUCAUGUACUAUUCUUAAAAUUUUCCCUUAUCAUAAUACACUCUGCAUCGAAAAGUAUGUGGAAUGAUGCACAGCUCAAUAAAAUUUGUGAAACAUAGAAAACAAUAAAUCUGAAAAUAAAUGUAAAAGGGCCAUAUAUAUAUAUAUACAGAUUUUCUUAGGUGCGGACGUCCGCACCAAAGUUUUGGUGCGGAUUUCCAUUUUUGCACCACUUCUAGAUCGAAUUUCCUCAAACUUCCUUCUAGACAUAUCUAGAUCAUCUUGUGUAGAUCAUCUCUGCAAAAUUUCAGCUAAUUUGGUGAUCGUUAAGGCCCUCAAAAUCGAAAAACAAAUCUGACGGACUGAAUUAUGUCUGGUUCAGGUAUAGAACAGAAAAACGCAAGUUUGAGGGUCUUAACGAUCACUAAAUUGGCGGAAAUUUUGCAGAGAUGAUCUACACAAGACGAUUUAAAUAUGUCUAGAAGGAAGUUUGAGGAAAUUCGAUCGGGAAGUGGUGCAAAAAUGGAAAUCCGCACCAAAAACUUUGGUGCGGACAUCCGCAGCCAAGAAAGGAUAUAUAUAUAUACAGAGAGGAUGUGAACCGAACGUCCACACUCCGGCUUAAAGUGCGGACGUCGUCUGUUCUCCGCCGUCUCAUGCCGGCGACGGCUUCUCUCCUUCCCGGACGACAGCACAAGCUUCCAAGACGGUUUCUCUCCUUCCAGGACUGGCCGGCGACAAGUUUUCCUUCCGGAUUGAAGCUCUGGACGGAAAACACCAUGAUUGAUCAAGGUUGGCCGGAAAAUUUGUCGCCGGCCAGUCCUGGAAGGAGAGAAGCCUUCCUGGAAGCCUGUGCUGUCGUCCGGGAAGGAGAGAAGCCGUCGCCGGCGUGAGACGGCGGAGAACAGACGACGUCCGUACUUUAAGCCGGAGUGCGGACGUCCGCUUCACAUCCUCUUUGUAUAUAUAUAUAUAUCCAACUUAACAAGUUUAGAUACUAGGCCCAAUUUUAGAUCUGGCUCAGAUCCCAGUCCUGACCCUGAACUUAGAAUAGCAGGUCCGAGUAGGGCUGGGCUUAGUCCCAAACUAGAUCGGUUGAACUGAAAUCGGGCCGGACCAAACCACCACCUAAAAAGUUCCAAGACCGGUCAAAGACCGGGCCAAUGAAAAACUGAUCAGUCCUUCAGGCAAAACCAAAAACUCGGGUCUUUGAUCCUUAAACACAUGAUCAAAAAUUCCAAGUCUCAAUGAAUGCAUAAACCAAAAAGAAUAGGCAAACUGGCAAAUAGUUGCACAUCAACAACUAUGACUCUAAGAAUCGCCAAAACCAAGUCAUUGAGAGUCUUGGUUAUUGACUUUUGUUCCCUUUGUUGAAAAGAAGUUUGUUAAAUUGAAAUAAAACCACAUAAAAUAAUCCAUUGAAGCUCACACUAAAUCCGAAAACUGAAGCUCCCACUAUCUGUAGUAACCCAGAUUUUCAUAUCAAUUUUCUUGAAAUAUUUUCGAAAUUAAUGAAGGAUUAUUUUGUGGAAAUUCUUAUUCGUAUGUGCAAAGUUGAAGUUUCGGGAGUCAAAUAUAUUAAGGUGUUUCGUUUGUUUUUUUAGGUGGCCAAAAGUUGACUUUCUUAUCCAUAAGAUAUUUUUGAAAACUUUAUUCAUGAAAGUUGUAGUGCUCGACGAUACGAAUCCGUGGACACGCGGCACGCGUGAAUUGGACAUCGGAUGUGGAAAUUGUAAUCAAUUGAAGUUGAGUUUCUAUUUUCGGGAGGUGUAUAAAUGGGAAUUUAUUCACUAACCCUUGAACCCAAAUCAGUUUGAGAGAAAAGUUUCUCUCUCCUCUCCUCCUAAGCUCGUCGACGCCGAACCUUCACCAGCGUAGAACUCAGCCGUCCGGCCACUAAUCGAGAGGCCACCGGUCUUGUCAGAUUCGCAGGACCACCGCCUCCAAGUCUUGGGCGGUGUUGCAUGGUGGUUAAGCAGUAGACGCCAACAGACGAUGUCCUUCGGUUUGGAGUCGGCGGCACUGCCGUGAUUGAAAUCGCUGCUUACGGUGGCGACGAGGAGCGACUUUAGGUGUGUGUUGGUUCUUUUCUUCUUCUCUUUGUGGCUAGGCAUAGAUUGAAACACAAAAUUGAGUUUUGAACCCCGGAUUUGCAGAUUUGGGGGCUGAGCUUAUGGCGGCGUUCCAAACCAAUUUCUGGUCGAACUGAGCUAAACCUCAGGUAUUAAAGUUGCUCACCAUGCUUCAAUCUACAAGUUUUGUGUUGUAAGUUUCCCCAAAUUUCAAAGUUGGUGGGAUGGCGCGUGGGGCUCAAGCAGCGGCACGUGGAAGCGUGUCCGGGCAGUGUGGAUAGGUUUAGUUGUUGUGUUAGCUAGUUUGUGUCGUUAUGAGUGUGUUGAUGUGUGAUAAGGCUAAGUGUAGAUUAGGUAAUGCAUCUUAGGUACUAUGUUAAUCAUAGAUGUUUGGGAGGUUAUGAACCUUGAAAAUCUGAACUUAGAGGCAGCGUGGAUAGGUUGUUGAAUGUCCGACGACCUUGGGAGGUCUCGGAGGAAGGAUUGUCCUCCUUUGGGCGACCUUCAGGGUAAGGUUUGGUUAAGGGUGCAAUGAUCUUUUGUUUGAGUAGUUACUAAAGGUUAACAAAUGUAAUAAUUAGGUAACUUGUGGAGUUGGUGUUGAGCUUGGCUCUUGUGUUUUUGUUGAAGACGCAUCGGGAGUGUUAAGGUGAGUAAAUCUCACCCAAGGUUCACAUUGGGACCAAAUUUAUUUAUGGUCAUUUUGAUGAUGAUGAUGAAUUAAAGGAAAAUUCUUUUGUUGUUUUAAAAUAUAUGAGCUUGAUCGCUAACGGCUCAUAGGUAAGUUAAAACAAGUCUUCAUAUUUAAAUGAUUAUUUUUAAGGCUCUUAUAACCAUAAGAUUGUUGGUUCUUAGUAGAUUAUUCUUGUGAAAAUAUCUAUGUAUGUGCAUAUAAGGUUAUGCGAGUGUAUAUUUGAGAUGAUGUGUUUAUUGGGUUAUGUUGAUGUUACUAUACCCUAUUGUGAAAUGUUGUUUAGACAAUCAAACCGGGAACUAAGUCUUUGGCCGAGUGAUUGGUUACGGUUAGGAUAGAGCUUUAGUCCGUCUGUCAAUGUAUGUCAUGGGAGAUACCUUAUAGGUAUCUGUGACUCAUGGAUACAUGUGUUUUGAUGUAUGCCAUGAGAGGUACCUUAUAUGUAUCUAGGACUCAUGGAUACAUGUGUUUUGUUAUAGAUCAUGAGAGGUACCUUAUAAGUAUCUGGGACUCAUGGGUACAUGUGUUUGUUAUAGGUCAGGGGAGGUACCUUAUAGGUAUCUGGGACUCAUGGAUACAUGUUUAUUUGUAAGAGUAUUGGAUAUGUGUUUCAUUUUGGGGUGAGUGUGUGGACAACCUUCAUGUAGAAUUAUCGAUUAUUUUUCUAUUGUUACAUGUGUUAAUAAUGGUUGUUGUAAAUGUGUUGAGUUAGUAUUUUGGGAAUUACUCAUACGAGCUUUUUAGCUUUCCGGGUUUAUUGUUUUACAACCCGGUGCACCAAUUCAUGAUGUAGGGGUUAGACCUGCAGGUGAUGAUCAGCAGAGGUGAGUGGGAGGCAUAGUGACAAAGUUUUAGAUGUCGAACUUUUUAUUAUUAUAUUUUGUCAUAUAUAUUGUAUUAAGCUCAUGGUGAGCGUUUUCAUUUUACUUGGCAUUUCAAGUUGAUGUAAACAAGAAAAUGUAAUAUUUGACUCAGUGUUGAGCUUAUAUUGAAAUUUAUAUUUCCAGCCUUUGAGUUUAGUAUUUGAAGUUAAUGAACAGGUAUUGGGUUAUUUUUGAGAUUUAUCAUGUCCAAAUUUUUGAAAAUUAUUCUUUUAAAAUUAGGACGUGACACACUAUCAAUCAAAAAUUACUUUUGUAUUUUUGUUUCUUUUCCAAAAUCUAAAUCAAUUAGCUGAAUGCCCAAUUCAAACAAUGGUCGAUGUCUAGUCGAAUUCCAGUUGUUUCUUUGAUGGAGGAUGUGUAUUCGUCUCUUCAUUUUAGGAUUUACGUGUCUAGAGUAAAACUGUAAGAGGUUUGGUAGUAUUGUUGUUCCAAUCUCAUGUUAUUGUUCCUAGAGUAGUAUUGUAGAAUUGUAGAAUUUAAUCAAUUAUAGGAUGGUUGGGUUGCAUUUUGUUACCAAUCUAAAGGACCAGGACCGGGCCGGACCGGACAGAAUUGGUUUAAUAUCAACAAAAAAUCCGGCUGGGACUGACCGGUGCGGGUCAAUUUUAUUGAUAUUUUUUCAUGCUUUGGGCUUUAUGCCCAUCCUUAAGCCCAACCCAAGACAGGCACAAACAACACAUCUCCUCAGGGCACCCGAAAAGUUUCGUACCGUUAGGUGGCCGGACAGAGAAGACAGAGAGAGACCAUGGAAAGAAGGCAAAAGCUUUUUUUCCCAUAAAAGUAUUGAUAGAGAGCCAUAAUGUUCACCUCAAAUAUAUGUUAAUUAUUUGACCAUUUGAUGUAUUCAUAUUUUUUUUAUUAUUAUUAUUAUUCUUAUUGGAAAUGAAAUAGCAAGUCACCUCGAUGACGUCAUCAAGUUAAUAACAUACCCACUACGUUUGUCUUCAGACCAAAGUUCACGAGUAUCCCAACAAAGUCAGAGACUAAUCUCCUGCCGCAUGCGUACGUACCCGAAGGCGCAUCAUAUUUGCUGGUCGUAAACAGAUAGGACGUGGGACUUAAAGUCUAGCUAGACAUGCAUGUAAAACCUUGAUGACAAUAUCAUGCUUAAAAAUUAAUUAAAAUUGCAGAGAUAAAAUAAUAAAAUAAAAAGGAUUUCUAAUGGCAAUGUCUAGCAAAUUAAACAUAUAGGAUAAUUUCUUACUUCAAAAUGUAGAGAGUAAAAAGAAAAAAAAAAUAAGGGUUGGUUUGAAGUCUUCAAUGGCAAACCAUGGGUCACAUCAUUUGCAUCAACUGUUUAUGAAUCCAUAACAACGGUAUGUUUAGGAUUUCAACUGUUCAACAUUUCUCCAUUGAUAUCUAUUUUUACAAUGAAGUUAAUUAAUUGGUAUAAGUCAGAAGAAAAACUGGACUCCUAAGAAGACUUUCAAGGCUCUGAUUACACACGCAAGAGGAAAUAUGGGCCAAAGAACACAAAUAAUAGAAUUAAUUUUUUCCAAAAGCUGUUAUGGAAACUAUAUGAAUAUGGCUAAAAUAAAUGGUCAAGAGGAAAAUAUGCAGCUUCCAGGUGCAUGACCACUUGAAGAUUAUGAUAUUGGCAUGAGAUACGUACAUAUAUAUGCAGAUGAUGAUGAUGAUGGUUAAAAUCAAUGCAUAUGUCCAAAAAUAUAUACAUACAACUAUAGCUAUCAUCUCCAUUGUGAAAAAUAGGUAAGAAUUAAACAACUGCAACCACAACUACAGCUAGCAUUUCCUUUGGAAUAGGGUUUCCAUAUCUACAAGUUAUCCUUCAAUGGAGUCCCAGCUGCCAUAAUUCGAAUACAUGCAUUCAUUGAAGUGAGACAAACAGUAUGAAAUGAAGUAACCUUUAUUAUUCUUGAGCUAACCAUGAGGACAAAAGAUUGGAUUCUUGAAACCUCGAUCAAGCCUAGAGAAUAUAGAUUUUGAUUCUUGCAACUACGUAAUAGGAUCCAGUAUUACAUUUUCCUAAAUACAAGUAGAAACCAUUUCAUAAUAUAUUAUUUCAUCCUAAUUAAACAUGUGCAUACCCUCUUAAAUAACUAAAAUAAUUUAGUUUAAGAAUAGAAUAGAUAGAAGAUAAAUUGACUAGUGUCAUUUUUUUGAUGCGUGAUCAAGAAAACUAGCUAGAGAUCCCCACACCAAGAAAAUCUAUGAAGGGAACUUCCUUGUUAUGCUCGAUGGAUGAAUCGUGAUGAUGAUGAGGAUGGUCUUCAAAUGUAGUAGCUGAUGCAGCCCUCUGGUACUCUUUCUUCAAUAUCAUCUUGCUUCCAUGCUUCUCAUGAAUAUCUCCAAGAGGACUAGUACUACUACUGAGGCACCCGAAAUGAUUGAUUGGAACAUUAACCCUUCUGGGAUUUGGAAGCCCAAAAGUACUACUGCUGCUGCCGGAACCUCUAUACCUGCCAUACACGAAUGCUGGACUUGAAUAUUGCCCAUUAAUUCGAGGAACAAAACGAUGAUCCGAAUUACCACCCUUGAAGCACUCCGAAACUCUGUAAUUAGAUAUUUCUGAUCCUCUCAAGAAGCCUGAUGAAGAUGUCGAGUUGGGAUUUGAUAAUGAACUUGUCAUUGAAGCAAAGUUCCAAUUAUGACAAGAAGAGCUUUUAGGCCUUGACGAUUCCAUGAACGACAUUGCCCUACCUUUACCAGGGUUCCUGAAUUCAAACACAGUACUAGUAGUAGAACUACUCUGAUUGUGAUCAAACCCAGUUGAUGAUUUCAAUAUCCUCAAAUCAAAAGCGUUGGAAAUUGAUGAGGAAGUGUUCGAUAGAGAGUCAUUAGAGAUUAAGAAAUCUUGGUAGCUUCUCUUGCUCCCACAAAUUAACUUAGAUUGCUCUCUUUGCCUUCUGGCCAUGAUAACAUGCCAGUGAUUCUUUACGGCGUUAUCAGUCCGACCUGGAAACAGUCUUGCUAUCAUUGCCCACUUGUUUCCGUGAAUCCGAUGAGCCGCUAGAAGCCUCUCUUCUUCUUCUUCACUAAACGGCCUUCUGUUGAUUCUUGGGUCUAGUUGAUUAAACCAUCUCAACCUACAACUUUUCCCUAUCAGAAAAAUAAACAAAUAAAAUAAUCAGAGAAAUCUUCAGAUAAAAUUAACGAGGAAAUGACCGACAUACAUAUAUCAUUUCCUCGUUAAUCGAUCAUUUCCUCGUUAAUUUUCAAUACAAACUACUGAUGACAAUGUUCAAGUCAAUUAAGGGGGGAAAAAAAUGCGCAGGGUGGUUCAUACAGAUCGAAUAUUAGGUUGGAAAACUGAGAUCAGAAUUGAAAAAAAUACAACACAAGGGUAAGUUACAACUAUUCUUGAAUCCGAAAGAAUAACUUCCAUCGUUUGCCAACUACUCACAUAAUUAACCACUUCUAUGUUGUGAUAUUGUAGAGAACUAUAUCUCAUUAUCUCCAGAGAAGCACCGGAACCGCCUAUCAAGAAUCGAGAGAGAGAGCGAGAGAGUACCUGAUCUUCCUUGAAGCUUUUCUGCUAUGGAGUUCCAGUUCUGGGCACCGUACUGUUCGACGAGUUGCCGGAGUCUUUCAUCUUCUGCGGGCCUCCAGUGUCCUCUUGGGCAAGACGUCGACUUUGACUCAUCUGCAGAGCCAGCAGGAGAAGCUCCAUAAUCAUCCAUGGCAAAUCAAACUUUUUCUUCACACUUGUUGGAAGUACUUGUCCAAUUAACCAACUAUAGAUACAAUAACACAGUUAAAGGUAUCCUGCACGAACGAACAAUAUAUAGAAGAGACCGAGAAAAUUAUGAAGAUCCAAUAGGAAAGUGGCCGAGGGGUCGGUUUAGGGUUAUGGAUGGGCAGUCACUUUUGUUGGUUUUACACGACACAUUAAGCUAAUUAACCUAUAAAUAUGUAUAUGGAACAUGUUACUGUAGAGCCAACAUGACACUAGCUAUCUCUCUUUCUUGUUUUAUUUUUUCUUCUUUCUCUUGUUAAUACUUAUGUCAUUGGCCAAGACACCAUCUAAGACAUAUUCCCAACUGUUUCUCUCUUCCUCUCACACACGUCGCACAAAAACAAGACACCUAUAAUUAUUGAUUUUAUCUUCAUAAUUAAGCCAUUUGCUGAUUUGCAUGUACUACGUUAUUGAUAAUAAUAUAUCAGACCUAAAAAAAAAACUGGGAAGCUUAUAAUUAGCGGGACAUUUCUCCUUAUACGAUGUACUGAUUAAUAACGAUAAUUUAAGUAUAGAUGUACUAAACUUGUCUGACAAAUAAUAGAUUCUGUAUUUGUGUUCACGUAAACGUAUUGUACUUUUAAAAAGAACCGUAUUGUACUUAAAGAAACAAACAUAUGAAAUCCAAAUCACUGAAUAUCAGAGUACUGAGUGUGGAAAUACUUCGAAAUGCAAUUCUAGGAAAAAACAGAUCAUGGUAAUAAGUAACAGCCUUAUGUUUGGUACACAGUUUUAGAAAAUAUAGAGGUCCAUGUCCAUGUGAACGUUAAUUACUGUAUUUAUCAAAAUGUUGCUGUUUUAGUCCCAUAUGAUGCUUCUGAUUGGAAGCAGUUUAAUAAUGUAAGGUAGAUGGACAUGUAAAACCAUAUUAAUUCAUUGUAAGGGAAGUUGGUAGUUCUCCAAAUAGGUAAUAUUCAAGCUGGCAUACCCAGAAUUUGCUAUAAUAAAUUGAUAUUACUAGUUUGUUAAAUAAAGCAUUAGAAUUAGUUUGUAAUGCAGCUUAUAUGUACUUAAAAAGAUAGGUUGUUCAAGUGUACAUUAGUUUGACAGCAUAGUGACUGAUAUACAAAGAAAUAUUUAUAUUCUUCUUUUGGGUACAUACACAGUCACAUACUCACAUAUACUUACUACAGGAUGUGUACGUAGUCAUAUUUAGUUAAAAAAAAAAAAAAAAUAGUAUAAUUGCUUUACUUUAUAAGUCAGCAUUUAAGAUAUAUAUAUACACCCUAAUUAGUCAGCCUCAUAUGAUUCUGGCAAUUCUUAUUAAGCUAACUGAACUACAAAUAUUUAUAAUUCUUGAGAUACGAUUGCUCUAAGCCUGUAAGAUCACAUCUCAAUGUAUUAAUUAAGCAGAACCUUUCUGAAUUCUGAUAAAACGGUUCGAUAUAUAUAAUACGAUUUAUGGUGUGCCUGCAUAUAUGCAGGCCGUCACAGAUUUAGCGCUCUAUGGUCGAGCACCCGCCCGAGACCUAUUCAUACGUUGAUCGAGAGUCAUCUAACAAGCAAAGCAAGGUUAGGGCUCUCUCCAUUCGGGAGUUGGUGAAGUGCUUUUGUCUUCUACGAGUGUACAUUGGACUUGUUUGGGAGGCGAAGACACCAUUUUCAUGCUAACUGAUGAUACAGCGGUUGUCGCUUGGUGGCCGGAUUUAGCGCAUUUUUAUGGCGCCAAUCUUAUUGCAAAUGGAGGGUGGUCAUCUGUGGUUUCAAUGGGUACAAACUAAAGGGUGUAUCCGUUCUUCUGAUGUUCGAUCCUUACUGUUCAAAAUAGCUAGACAAACUGAAGGGUGGGACUAGGUUGAGGCUUGUAAUGGCGUGCGAGUACAAGAGGAAGAAAAGUAUGGGUAAGCCGUCUGCCUUUCUCCAUAUAUACUUCGUUCCACGCAGAUGAGAAGUCAAAUACAAACAUUGAAACAUUUGGAACAACAUCGAUCUAUACCUAAUCAUUCUAUAUUGUUUCUUCAUUAGUUGAUUGAGAUUUGACAUCCCAUGACAAGUGAGAUCGAAAACACCUAAUUAAUUUCUUCCAUUUCAAAUAUGCUUCAAAGAAUGGCUAGCUAGCUUAUUAUUAGCAUCAGUAUCAUCCAAUUAAACCACUAGGUACCAAAUCAUGUCCUAGUAACAAUUAAUGGAGGAUAUAUAUUCACAUACCAUUCCAAAUAACACCAUAGUUUUCGUAUUUUAUGUAUUGCAUGUAUAUGAUAGGGCAAGCUACGUUUCACUAUAUAUUAUUCUAGUUUGUUUGUGUUUUCUUUUGAUCGAAAUCACACAGUUUCCCUAAAUACUUCUAGGUCCAAUGACUAAUCAGUGUCGAAAUCUCAUAUCAGAACGUUUCGUCCCCUGAUCUAUAAACCAAAAAUAGAUUAGGAUUUAACUUUAAUUAACGUAUGCAGGGAUUCAAUCAUAGAUUAAGCACUCUAUCUAUGCACAGUCAUGAUAGUUUCCAAUAGUGAUACAUAGACAAGUUUCCUGCAGCCGUAUUCUACCAAUGCCUUAGCCACUUUACUUUUAUACGAUAUAUCGAAACAAUAAUAUAGUCGAAGAACCACUCUGGUUAGCAGCACCAUGAUAGCUGCUAGAACGGUGCCAUAGUUCUUCAUGCGAUCAUACAGUUUUAACUUUUAAACACUUCUAAUAACAACUAUCUUAUGGUUAAGGAUAAAGUCUUAUAUAUCAUGGAGUCUGCUGACUGUGGAACUCUUUUCAUUUGCUAAUUAGCCAGCCGAAAUUGAUUGCCAGGUGUUUAUACUAACAAGUAACUGCUAAACUCUAUAAAACAAAAUUAUUAAGAGAAACACAGUAGUACUGUAGAGGAAAGCUAAGUGAACACGUACAUAUGCGUGAUGGUGGUUAAGCAGUCAAGUAGUUAUCAAAAUAUAUAUAUCUAGAUCACACAGGUGUAAUGUGAUUGUUGAUAGUCGACCUAGCUAGCUAGUAGAAAAUGAUACGGUUAGAGAACUUCCAAAUAAGUAGGUGUCGAUGGAAGGAAGGGCCCGUCACAGGAGAGCUUUAAUCAUAUCGAUCAUCAGUAAUAUUACUUGCUGAUUGCACAUAUCAUGCGCGCGGUAUUACAUAAUCUUCACCAAAUUAAGCUGCUUCUCAACGUCUUCAAUCAAUGUUAUAUGUGAUAACUCAUCUUAUGCUCUUCUGAGGUGCACAUUCCAACUCGAUCGGUCAUAUAUGCAGCUCUCUCUCUCUCUCUCUCGAUCGAUCAUAUAUGCUUUCCAGGAAUAAGCAUAUAGGGAAGGGUUUGCAAGAGCUUUCGAAUAGUAAAUGCAGAGCAUUUCAGUUACUUGCACAGACAAACAUCCAUUUCUUCAGAUGUCUUUAUAUGAAAACCAUCAUGUACCUUUUCCUCUCACCUUCCAAAACAACCCAUAUAAGCAACCCAAUCUAGCUUCCAUAGACAAUCUUCCCCAACCCACACCCUUCCUAUACAAAAUAUUUUAUCAGCCCGCAGCAGCCAUUGAUGAAAAACUUCACCAAACUAAUUUGACUGCUUGCUAUAUCAAACUCUCUUACAUAUACAAUCUUUUUUUGUCGCUCUCUUCAUUGAAUGCAUUUUGUUACAUGAUAUGUCAUCAUAUUAAUGCAUGUUUGGUUUCAAUAAAUUUUCACAGCAUACAUGUACGUGCUUUCUGAAAUAAACUGGGAAUUGUUUAAGCAACCCCUAGCUGCCAAAAAAUUCAGCUGCAUACAUCAUUUUCCAGUUCUUACUGAAGUAAUUAGUAAUAAAAUUUAGUUCCAGUGUACCAUUCAAUUACGGUUCAUAUUUAUAAUUCGAUUAAUUAGUUUCUUGAACCAAGUAAUGGUGGAAGUACGUCAGUACGUGUCUGUUAAAUCUUGUUUAAACGUGAUCACUUAUACGGAUUAUAUAUGUUCUAUAUAAAAUAGUUAUAUAUACGAGAAGUCUUAAACGGCAACCGAAUUCUGAGACACAUGCAUGCAGCCAAUUCAGAGAGUUACGAUCUGAAUGAAGUAACCCACAAGAAUUUGCAAUAUUAGUUAUUAAGAUCCAUUCACCUCUAUAAUUUCUUAACUUAGCUUGCUUGUUGUUUUAUGCAUACAUAUAUGCUUAAUUGCUUAGCCAAACCCUAUUAAAACCCCAGUAAAUUAUUGUGUUUUGUUAAUUUAAUUGGAUCAAGUCAAGUACAGUUAAUCAGUUGGCUUUUCUGUGGUGAUUAAGUCUAAUCUCAACUAACCACAUAGCGAUAUUCUCCACUGCAGAAGUCCAGAUUGUUAUAUAUACUCUUAAUACUAAUAAACAUAUUAUUCAUAAGUUAGAUUGGGACGUGAUUAAGAUCGAUUAUGACAGUUUAGCUACCUUAAUUGAGUGGUUACUUUGUAUCUUAUCUCUGCGGGUCAUGAGUUAGCAAUCUCUCUAGACUUUGUCUAAUGUGCAUGUCUAAUCGUGUCUAUUCUUCACUCGUAGUCAUGUACAUAAGUACUCGAUCGACAUAAAAUUAGCAACCAAAUGAAAGGUUUAUAUUAGUUUUGCUUUAUUAAAUAUAUGAACCUGCCUCUUCCAUGUUUAUUAAUCAUGGUAUGUACGUAAUCAGAAAUAUUUCCCAAUAUAAUGAAGUUGGGUCUAAAUUAAUUAAUGUAGUUUACCACUAUUACACAGCCUUUCAGUUGAGCAAUAUUUCAAAAAUUAGCAAGAAGAUGAUGAUAAACCUAAAUCAGUACUAUUACUUGACAUGCAAUAUUAAUAAUGUUAUCAGUUGCAGGAACAUGUAGCUUAUUUGUGGCAUUUUUUUUGCUAGGCUAUAGUCAUGAUUCGGGAUAUAGAUGACAUCCUACCUACUAGUUAACCUAAUUUGUUGUUUAAAUUACUAUUCGGUUACGCCAAAAAAAAAAAUUAUAAUCAAUCAAUCUACAUAUACUGGUUAAGAUUUCAAAUAUCUAUAUGUAUGGGUGCGUGUCUCUAUCCCUUGAUUAAUGUAUCACAAAGGACGUCUCUUUUAGUUAUAAUCUUAUGCAACGUAACACCUUAUCUACUUUGUCUCGUGAGGAUUACUUUGAGUGUAAUAUUUUCUGUAUGCUUUGAUACAUUUAAUAUCAAUAAGAUUAAAUAUUAGUACUACAUAUACUAUUUGCUAAAAGAUAUAUAUGCUGGAGGGUAGAAACCCUAGCCUAUAGAUUGAAUUCACGGAGUAGAGUUGACGUCCCAAAACAUUCCGACAGCAUUAUCUGUACGUAUGUACGAGUAGUUUUGUUUACUAAAUAAGCUACAUAUGCAACAAGGGAACUCGGAGGAAGUCGAUCGGAGCAUGUCACUCCCUUGAUCUAUAUAUGGGGGCGUUUGGCAAUUCGGAAAAACAACAUGUACUUAUUUACUAAGAACUUUGCAUGCAUGCAUGGCCGAGCCAGGAUUUUCUAAUUUUAUAAUGGGAUAGGCUAUAAAUUUUUCUUUUAAUAAACGCGUACUAAUUUAUGUUAGAAACGGACUAAGUUUGAUAACAUAUAGACUAAAUUUAAAAAUUUGGGGUGGGGUAUAUUUUAUUUUUUAGUUUUUUGAACUAAAAUUUAGCUAGAAAUAAAUGUGUUUUCAAAAUUUAAGGUGGGAUAUAGCCCACAAGAGCUCGUGUGUAGGUAUACCAAACGGAUGGUACCUAGUAGUGUUGAUGAGCUGCCGGCCACCAGGGUCGGUCCGUCGUGUUUAGAGGCCUUAUGCGAGAUAUAAAAUGUGGCCCUUUAGGUGCUCUUGAUAAAAGAGAAACAAUACACUAAAACUAGAAGCAUGGUGUCACAAAUAGGCAUGUAUAUAAGCAUAUCAAACAGCAAACAAAAAAGAUAGAAGACCAAAAGCAAAUUUUCUGUAAAAGCAUAUUAGAUUGACUUCAAAAGCAAAUGCUCUGUAAAAGCAUGUUACAUUGACUUCAAAAGGAAUUACCAAAAAUCUCAGCUACUUUAUUAUAAAGACGCAUCAAGUACUACAAUACUACCAGACUUUUACCAAGAUGAAAUAGCCAAUGCAAUACUAUUUUCUGAAUACUGAUCUUCUAGCACUCUUAGAUGCAAAAUCAUCAAUCAAUCUCUCAUAGUCAAGCUUUUCCAAGAACUCAUGUUCAAUGGAAAUCAAAGCCAAAGCAUUUAGUCUUUCUUGCGACAUGGUUGAACGCAAGUAAGAUUUCAAUAUUUUUAGCUUUGAAAAGCUUCUUUCGGCUGAUGCUACUGUCACUAGAAUUGUUAACAAAAUUCUGUAUGCAAGACAACUAGUAGGAUAACAAUUAGCUCUUUUCAAGAAAUUUAGUAUUGCACUAGCUGUAUCUGUAAUAGUUCCAAUUCAUUAAAUAAAUCCUCACCAUCAAUGUCGGAAGUGUGGCCAUUCUCGAGCUUCUUUUCAAGAUUGUUGCAACUUCUUUUCAAUUCAUCAGCAUCCAAGGACUUCAACUCCUUUGCUGUGAAUAAGAACCCAAAUGUCUCUUCAUAUUGCUCAAACCUUCUUUCCAAUGAACCGAUUGCUUGAUCAAUUAUGUAUACAAAGUAAUGAACUCUGAAAGAUUCUUGACUUGAUUCUUCAAUGAGUUGUUCAGAUGGCUGAGUUUCAGUGUCAAUCUCAUCAAAAUGUCUCUUCUUGUGAACUUUUCUUUUCUUUUUCUUCUCAGGAAACACUGGAUCAAUAUCUAAGUCAGCAACAAUCUGACAAUCUCUUUGGCACAAUUCAAUUUACUCAGGGAAUUAAAAUGUGUGUGUGGAGAUUCGAACUUGGGUCUCAAAUACACAAAUCCAAAGGAAAACCAACCGAACUACAACUCCAAUUGGCAAUUUGCUACAUCUUUCUACAUAAUAUAGGUGUACAAUUUUUUUUUUAACCCUCCAAAAUUGGAGGCCCUAUGCAACUGCACACUUGGCACAGCCCAUGGGCCGGCACUGCCGGCCACCAAGCUUUGAGAGAGUGGUGGUGCAGUAAGCAGGUAUGUAUUGAUGUUUGACACACUGAAGGUACGUAACGAUAAGCACUGAUAACUCGAUAAGGUCACAACUAGCUAGCUAGGAUGGUGUAUAUCUACACCGGCCAAGGAAAUAAGAGGGCGGCGUCUAAUUAACCAUGUUUGCCUCCAUGUCUCGAUCCCGGGGAUCUAGAGAAUGGUAAUCGAGCUCAGUCCUACAACUUCACAACCUGAAAUGCUCUUGUAUUGUACGCUGCUUUGUCGUCUGAUGUUUUGCUUAAGCUGUUCAUCCUUUUUCUUUGGUCAUGUAGGCUCUAUCCUACUUGAGCUAAAUAAACAGUCUUCUUAAUCUGGGAAUUAUUCGUGGAGGUAGUGGACUAGAAGCAAUGGUCAUCCCAGAGUGGGAAAAAUCUAAAGAAAGCUAAUGAACUCCUGCCUGAUUAAUGGUCGUUCCCCUAGCUGCGUAGCUGGUCUCCUAGCCAUUGGAUGCCUUGCAGUAACAUGAGAAACUAAUUUUGUUGGGCCAAAUAUUAACUUCAAAUCUAUAGAAUACAGAAUUGCAAAAUAUCUCUCCGUCUCUCUUAUUCUACAAGUUUGAACAUCAGACCCUUGGACCACAAAAAAUGAGAUGAAAAAACGAAAUUCUAGUUCAAGUUGGUUUGGGCUCAAGACUCACCUUGACUAUUCAUGGCGGAGGGCCCAUACAUUGUGCAAUGGUAAAUGAAAUAAAAACAAAAACAAAAUAAAAAAAACAAAAUUUUAUAAGGGGACGCCAAUCAAUUAAUAUUAUUAAAAAAAAAAAAGGGUUACAUAGAGAUAGCUCACCUAGCUACGACAUCGGAUCAAAAAAAAAAAAAAGCUACCACAAAAUUGAAUUACCUGCUUAAUUGAUCUAAAACUAAAAUAUAACAGUACAUAGACAAUCUAACAUGCAAUCAGUACACAAUUAAAUCAAAGAAACCCGAGAGCAAUUUCCUAAGGCUGCGAUGCUAAAGAAGGAACCGAAAUAAGACCAAGUACUUCUCAAGUUUAUUCAAUGACGUAAGGCCUACCUAGGAGCACAACCAAGUUCAUCUAGCCUAAAAAGAGCACUAUACUGAGCGAGGCCCAGUCCUAACUACAAAUCCAAGGCCAUGAGCCCAUGCCUAAAAAGGCCCAGGCCAUCUUCUACCUGUAAGAGUGGACACCAAUACCUCAACAACGACGAUACAAGACACUUUCGGUGGUCUGCCUAACCCCUACUGCCCCAUCAUCGUUAUCACGAACCCAACAAAAUAGAAUGGAUUCCGGACCAACAAAUCCAAUAAAAAGCAAGCAUAACCAGCCUGAUCAUUAACCUACAUAAAUUCACAUCGAACGCUCGAAAAAUUAUUCAUUGUCAUGUUUUUAAAAUUUUGAAAUAUUCACUGUAACAGUUUUAUUAUAUAAAAGAUAGACAUAGAUUGUGCAUCUACCAAAUUGUUCAUGCAUGUGGACUUGAAUCAAGCUUUUGAUAAGAUAACGGACCUACGGAAGUAUUUUAUAUAAGUUGGCUAAUCUUUCUCAAAUACUCAAUCACUCUACUAAUUCCCAGCCAUGAUUGAUGACAUGUCUGAUUCUUUUCCCAUUACUAAUUCUUUGUCGUUCCAUUCCAAUCCCAAAACUAUGUUUUGUAGCAGGAUCAGCCAACGAAAACUCUAGCAAAGUCACCAGCGUUGGAGCAUGCUUAGUCGGUAUUGUCACCAAUGUAAUUUAUAUUUAUUUUUUUCUUUGCAAAUUAAACGAGACCUAGAAUAUAAAUGGGGUCCAACAACUAUCUGCCUAACUCCAACGAUACGAAGAGACAUUAGGCCUCGUUUGUUUCACAAAAAUGAAAGUAGUUCCUUGCUCUUUCUCAUGAGAAAUGAAAUUUUCAGAAAAGUUUUCAUUCUAAUGUUUGGUAACGCAAAGAAAACCAUACGAAAAGUUGUUAAAAUAUAAAAUAAAAUAUUAUGGUGUGAGUAAUAAAUGUAGAAAAAGAAGGAAGGAAAAUGGUUCCUUUGGAUUUUGGAAGGAACCACUUUCCCCUAUAUUUUUCCUUCAUGCAGGAAAGUCUUUCAUUUUCUUUUGUUUUUUCAAACGCAUGAAAUAAACAACCUUUCAUGAUACCUAUUUUCCGCGAAACAAAUAAGGUCUUAUAGAAGUUAAGUUGAGUGACAUAUAUAGAAGUUGAAAGAUACACUUCCUAUGAUAUAAGAAAAGACUAAUCCACUCACAUUUUUUUUUUGUUACAAACGGGGUCAAAAAGACUAAAAAUUAGAGGAAGAGCUCAUCGUAGCUCUAGAGAUAGCAACAAUGUCAUCCAGAAAUGCUUUUGCUAAUCCACCCACUUCGUAGAGUAGUAACUUAAUAAUUAGUACCACCAAUUAAAAAAAGAAAUCCUAAGCAUAUGAAUGUAGUACAUUAUUGAAAGAUGCUUCAUCUUGUAAUCGAUAUUGAUAAUUUAUAACUUAUAUAAGAAAUUGAUCUACCAUAUCGCCGCAUGAUUUGUCACUAGUGUAUGAGAUCAAUAUACCCACUAUAUCCAAUAGGGUCAUUAUCUAAUGAUGUAUUGUUGCAUAAAACUAAUCUACCAUUUCAUAUAACUUGUGUAUUUCUUUGUAUGCAUGACUAGACAGACCAGUCUAGAUAAGCUUGAGAGUUCAAACUUUGUAUGAAUGGUUUACUUUAACUGAUACCAAAAAAAAAAAAAAAUAGAAUGGAAGAAAGAAAGAAAGAGACUUCAACCUUUGACUUUGUCGACACAGAACUCAUAAGCGCUGUAAUUCCAUUGCCAGGAAUAUCAGCCACACCACGACUACGCGUUCGACUAUAAAAUAUGUAUGUUUCGGGUGUUUCAUCAUUAUCAUCGUCGUCGUCACCAAGCACACCCAAUAUUUUGGUCCCAUUUUUCAACCAUUACCGUACAAAGCUCUCACUGUUCUCACACCUAUGACCUCCACCAGUCGUCCAAGCAGAACUUUUACCCAAUCUGCCACCGUCUGUCCAUUCAUUGGAAUGCAAAUUGUACAGUCAGGAUUGACUGGGGCCAAAGUACUAUAAUGGUGAGCAACACAUUUGUACUACUAUUGUCAACAGGCUUAGUCAAAAGACAAGUUGGUAUAAACAUGCAGACUGGAAUAGAACUGGGAAUCUGAAGAAGACAUUGAGAGAGAAGUUUCCUUGAAGGGUAUAUUGUUGGGUGGAACUCAGUUUCUCACUACUUUUUAAUUUCCAGAAGGUUGGAAUUUUCUUCACUGUUUUGGGUCUUGGUUUUUUGGGUCAGAUUCUUGAUUGAUAUAGGAAUAGCUACACAUCCUUCCAAAUAUCAACUGGGUUUUUCUUCUUUGUUAAUCAUUUGUUCUGGUUGUUUUCUUUUUUGUUUUCUGCUUGUUUGUUGCUUCUCAACCUACCUAACCUCACAAUCUGAUAAUAUUUUAUACACCAUUAACUAUAAGGAGUUGAUUUGGCCUUUUCUCUUGUCUUUCAUAUAUCCCAAGGUCAAAUCCUAUAGCUCUUCUUCUUCCUCCAAAGUCCAAACCAAAUUCUCAACUUCAUCUUCAUCUGGGUUUCUCCAAUGAACUUUACAGGACAUCAUCACUGGUUGCUCAUAUGAUCUUUGAUCCUCUCUCAUAUUUCAGCAUAAGGUAUAUCAUUUCUUUCCUCUUUUGUUCAAUUUCUUAAGUUUCUUAUGUUAUGAACUGGAUUAUUAUGAAUUAUUGUUUGCUUAUUCUGUUUACACAGUGUGUGAAAUCAAUGAAUUAGGCAUGGAUCUUUCUCAUGCAUGUUUGUAAUCACAGAAAGAAUCAUACUUCACUCUUUUGUUGUUUGGAUUUCUUAACAAGGUUCUUUUCCGCAUGUUUCCGGAUUUGUUGAACUUGUUGCCUCAAAGUGACUAUGAAAACUAAAUAGUUGGCGCUGUUGUUCCAUUUUAGGCCCUGUGUAGUCCUACCUUCUUUUUCUGGCAAAGAGGCUUUCAUGGGAACUCAUGGAAAAUAACUUCAACUACAUGCCUUCAGAACUUAGUCAAGAGUUCUGAUCCACCUAGUUUCUUGACCAACCCUUAAAUCUAUAUGGAAAUUGGUCGAAAGUCAUCAGUAACAGACUUACUGUUAUGUCUCCCUAUUAGGCAAUUGAGAUCUUAAUUUCCUCAAGUUGGUGAGCUACUAAGAUGUCUUUCCUAAGGAUCACUUCUUCCAACAAAUUCACAAUAUCCAUGCUUCUUGGUCAUUUAAUUCUUCAAUCACUGUUGUUCUACUGAACCCUAUUUUUCUGUGAUUCUUUCCCGCUCUGUGUUAACUUCUAGAAUGGGGUAUCUUCGUAUGCUCCCAGUGGUAGUAAUGUUCUGCACAAAUCCACAUGGUUCCUGCAAUUACUAGUUGCUUGGUAUAGCAUUACAAACUACUUCAAUUUUAUGUAAUGAUGAGUUUGCUCAUUGGAUAUAACUCUUCAUCUCUCUUUUUGACUAAGACACAUACUUCUGCUUAUGGAUUAUUAAUCUAGAAAAGUAAUAUGUCCAUCAAGGUCUGCUGAACUGUUUUCUUAUGUUACUUUGUCUGUGCCAAUCUAGUUUCUUGCUAAAGUUCCAAACUCAAUAAGAGUUUGACAUUAAUUUACCAUCUAAUGUAUGAUGUAUUGUGAUACAGAUCUAAAUUCUAUAAUACAAGUCUUCCUCAACAACUGAAGAAGUAAAAGAAAACCAUGUCUUUAGUCAGGCCAGUGGAGCUGUCUGCCACAUCGUACAGAAAGUCGAAACUCUACUCUCUGAAGGGAAGCAAUGACACUUCCACCCAAACAUUUGGUGCCGAUAAGAGUAAUACCAUGUAUACGACUGAUUCUUACUCCACCGAGAGUUAUGAGUUCCUUGACUCCCCAAGUGAAGAAGUUGCGCAUCCAUCUAGCUCUAGCAUUACUGGAAGUUCGUUUAAUGAGCAUGGUGCCUCAUUUUAUCCACGCAGAGCUGGAUCUGUUUCCUCUUUCACCACUCAAAAUCCAUCUAGUACUUCUAUGUCCACAAGGCUUCAUGAUGCUUACCGAACCAACAUUGACUCAGAUUACUUAGAGAGUCAAAGCCCAGAUGCUGUUAGCUUUGAUGAUGAUAAGAUGAGAUUGAAGCUUCAAGAAUUGGAGAGAGCACUGCUUGAGGACAACGAUGAUGAACAUGAUGAGGAGAUGAUUGGCAGUGGUCAAAGCAUGGAAAUUGAUGGUGAAUGGACUGAACCAAUCCAGAAUGCAUUGCUCCAUGACUCACCCAAGGAGUCUUCAUCAUCUGAUUCUUAUCUAAGCAGCAUCAGCAGCAACAAAGAAAUAUCAGGAACAUCUCUUCGUACACCCAAGCAGCUGCUCUUUGACUGUGCUAGUGCACUUUCAGAGGGAAAUAUUGAAGAAGCAUCAACCAUGAUAAAUGAGCUUCGCCAGCUGGUCUCAAUUCAGGGAGAUCCUCAUCAGAGGAUUGCAGCAUAUAUGGUCGAAGGCCUUGCAGCUCGCAUGGCUUCCUCAGGAAAAUUUCUCUAUAGAGCUUUGAAAUGCAAGGAACCCCCAUCCUCUUAUCGCCUUGCAGCCAUGCAAGUUCUUUUUGAGGUGUGCCCUUGCUUUAAAUUUGGUUUUAUGGCAGCAAAUGGAGCCAUUAUAGAAGCUACUAAAGAUGACAAGAGAGUCCAUAUAAUAGAUUUUGACAUAAACCAGGGGAAUCAGUACAUCACACUCAUACAAACACUUGCUCAACUGCCCGGUAAGCCACUGCACUUGAGGUUGACGGGCAUUGAUGACCCUGAGUCAGUUCAGCGUCCCGUUGGGGGACUUAAUACCAUCGGCCAAAGGCUAGAGCAGCUAGCAGAAGGACUUGGUGUUUCGUUUGAGUUUCAAGCAGUUGCCUCAAAGACUUCAAUCGUCAGUCCUUCAAUGCUGGACUGUAGGCCAGGCGAAGCACUCGUUGUAAAUUUUGCUUUUCAGCUUCACCACAUGCCCGAUGAGAGUGUUUCGACGGUAAACCAGAGAGACCAGCUUCUCCGGCUGGCAAAGAGCUUGAGGCCAAAACUCGUCACAGUUGUGGAACAAGAUGUGAACACCAAUACUACCCCAUUCUUCCCAAGAUUUGUUGAAGCCUACAAUUACUACUCUGCUGUCUUUGAUUCCCUUGAAGCAGCUAUACCAAGGGAGAGCCAGGAUAGGAUGAAUGUUGAAAAGCAGUGCCUUGCACGGGAUAUAGUAAACAUCGUUGCAUGCGAAGGCGAGGAAAGAAUAGAGCGGUAUGAGGUUGCAGGGAAGUGGAGGGCCAGGAUGGCCAUGGCUGGGUUUACUUCAAGUCCGAUGAGUACAAGUGUUACUGAUUUGAUUCGGGAACUUAUCAGAAUGUAUUGUGACAGGUACAAGAUAAAGGAAGAAAUGGGUGCACUUCAUUUUGGAUGGGAAGACAAAACCUUGAUUGUUGCUUCAGCAUGGAGGUGAUGGUGAAUGUGCGUGUAUCAUUAAGCUCCAAGUACUGCUAUGAUUUCAUUUAGACUUGACUUGUAAUUUUGUGUGGAACCAGACUUAUGCUGAUACAUGUAUUCCGAGUUAAAUAAACAAGGGAGUUAGGAUUAUCUAACAUUGAUGUAAGAAGCCUAUGGUUGUAAUAGGACAUGUAUUUGUACUUUUCAUGUAUUACUUGAUUACCUCGAAAAAGAAAAUAGUACACUUUAAAGGUCUGAUUCAAAACCCAAAUCAUGCAGAACCUAAAUUAUAGAGUUCUGUACUUUCCUCUGUGAUUCCAGUCCCAGGUUACCCAUAUCAUAAUGGACGAUCAAUUUUAAGUUGUAAAAUGGGAGGAGAAAAUUUGUCUUUGGUUGUCCUAUCUCCUAUGAACUAUUGCAGUCUGUAUAAAUGGGUUAAUUUUUUUUGAUAUAUUGAAACAGCUUUUACAUAAAUUGUUAAAUAUGUUCAAGCUACGAGUUUAUUACAUCAAAACUAUCAAAACCGUAUAAACGACAAGGUUAUAAAAUGGACUUGGGACGACGAUACUCACUUCACACCCACAAAACAUAAAGCUACCUCAGCUUGGGCCUUGAGCUCCGCUAAAACCUUUACAAUGCUAUCCCGACACAUCGUGGUUUCCACAGGUUCCGAAAGCAUUUUGUUUAAUCUUUAUCAGAAAAAAUAAACUGGGUGAGACAUGAAUCAACUGCAAUUAGUUAACUUGGCAUGCAACAAUCAAACUUCAGACUAUUUACAUAAUAUGAUAAGAAGCCUGUACAAACUAAAAACAAAAUACAACUAGCUGAUCGGUGUCUUCCAGUUCCACAAGGUGGAAGCCAGACUCAUAACCUAAAGGCCACUGAAAAAGAAUCCAUGAAGGAAAUAGUGAACAUUAUGCAUUAUUAAGGUGUAAUGUAGUAUGUACCUGUCUACAGUUGCUAUAUCUCCAUGACCGGUACAAAUGAUAAGCAUGGCACUAGUGGGCAGUGCAGCAUAAAGAGAACGUAUUCUAGUGUCCAGGCAAAUAAGAAUUUCCUUUAGUUCAGAAGUCAAACUCCAUCUGAUACCUUUUUUAUCUCCAGACUUCUUAUGGCAUGUAAGCAUGCUUAUCAUCUGAGCAAGUCUUGCAUUUAAUUUCUCAGCAUCCUCUGCUUGAUUCUUUAAAAAACGAUGUAAUUCUGAGAAUUGAGUCCAGACAAAGUGCACUUUCUCAUUCCUUGCCUACAACCAAUAGCAGAGGUGAACAAACCUGUACACAUUUGUAGCAAAUGUGAAUACAAAAAAAAUAGUGAAUACAGCAUUUGCAGUGUACCUCCUUUACAGCUUUAGAUAGAGCUUCCUCAUCAGAGGCCACAGGAAAUGCAUGGGAUGAUUCAGAGGCAUAGCGCUUUACAAUUGCAACAUCAUCAAUGAUAGAGGUGGUCUUUCCAUUAUCACUCAAAACUUUUAGUAGCUUUUUCCGGAAAACUGAUGGUCCUGUACCAAAGUCAGGUCCUGAUCCAGCAAAGAAGCAUAAAUAUACAAUAUUACACAUGAUUUUAAAAAAUACCAGACAUAAAAUACCAAAAAACAUCUAUCUGCUUUUUACAAUUACAGAAAUUUUUUUUUGGAUAAGGUGCCAAAUUCAGAUACACUGUUGAUACACUGUGUUUUGAUUUUCUAACUUUUUACAUAAAAUGGAAGGAAAUGUAUUCUCAUCAUAACAAAAUAUGCAAUUAGGAAAAGUGGUGGGGUAGACAUGGGCAAUAAAAGGUCUUAAUGAUGGCAAUUCAGAGAAAUCUCAAACUGUUUGGCAGGCCAAGUAUACACCCCUCAAUCUCCACCCACCAUAAAAUUCACUAGUCCAUGGUAUAAUAUAUGCUUAAGAAAGUCACUUACCAUGUCUAAUCUUUAAAAGCGCCAGUUCCAUAGCAGCUCUUGCAUCUUCAGUACUGUCAUGACCAUUCCCUGACUGCUGUAUCUCUUUUUUAAGAUAUCUCUUGGCAAGAACUCUAAGAGCAGCUUUGUAAGAUCGCGGACCAGGGUGCUGGUACAAUACUGCUGUAUCAAUCACGAGAUUGUGACUGAUUUUUAAUGCUAAUAAGUCAUUCUCCAACGAAUGUCCAACUAGGACAGUCUCUUUGUAAACCUGCUUUAGGAAGUCCUCCUGCAUAUAAAAAAGCAACUGCUAUAACAGAAUAUAACAUUAUAUCAUCAAAUUAGUCACACUAGUACGUGAAUCCACAUCCAUGCAAGUACAUGAAUGCAUGCAUGUCUACAUUAUGAAAAGCAAGAACCAAGUAAUGGACCUGAAUAUCUUUGAGGCUUGUAGUCACCCCGUCUAACAUCUCAGGUGUGAUUCCACUAUACCUGCACAGAAGGGCUCUUGUCAAUCUAAUUAAAUUUUCCUUUUUUCUUUACUGAAUAGAAAUUCUCAUUCACACUGCAUUAAAUCAAACAGUAGACCUGUAAUUACCUAUUACUGGUAGCUACUAGAUGCAUGAAAUAACCAAAAGAACACUAAAAAACCAACCAUAACUAACAUAAAAGAAAUGUCAAGUUCUCUAAAAAUUAAGUUAGGGGAUAAUGUAUGUAAUAGAAGAGACUGUCAGACCAUAUCACUAGGAGAAAGGCAAGGAUGAGUAUAUGCUAAGAUGCGUUUCUGCAAUGAGAGUCGAACUCUUAAGGAUAUGAAUAUCUGAAACAAUGAAUUAAUAAGAAAUUUCGGCUUUCAGUGCAGAAAAAAAUGAGGGGAGGAAGAGGAGGGGGGCACACUAAUCAACAUUCAUACAAAGAAAAAAGCAUGUUAUUCAAGUUAACAUGUUUACAGGACAUGGUUUCAGGACUUGCACAACUAUAUAAAAGGGUUAAUGAAAACUUCAAUGAAAACUUACCUGGUGUUAUAAUCUUUGAUGGCAUUUGUAGGUUUAACCAAUUUAUCGAGUAUAACCUGAAAAUCAUCAAGGGGAUGGUUAAAAUAUAUCUAGAAACAAAUCCCUACAUAUAACAGACAAAAAGAAUUAAGACUACGAUAACAUUGAAAAUUUCAGAUCAUUCAAAUCUAGAUUAAUAUAUCCCAGUAAAAAUUUUAGAAGACAAACGAUCUUGAUUGUCAUACCAGGAAUCCAAAAAAGCUUAUAAGCGAGAUUUGCGAUACAAUUAAGUUAAUACUUCAGUCCAGAAAGCAUAACAAGAUGCUAUCAACAUACUAACAACAAGGCAUGUCCACAUAUCUGAGAUAAAAGAGUAGAUAUAUCAGAUAUAUGAGAAAACUGCCUUGUUUCUACAAUUCGAAACCUUCUUAUGCACAAAUGAUUAAUUAGUUUUAUGGAAUAAGAAUGCAUUGUAAAUUGAUUCCUUUGAAACUCCUGCACGGUAACUUAGAACUGGAUACAAAUGACUCAGAUACCUCUAUAUACAAAACACUAUCCAAACAAAUCAGCAGCAGCUUAAUACACUGAUAACAAGCCACAGAAAUUUAUGUAUUCAACCAACAACCGAAACAGAGAGUAAAAUUCACUGAUGACCCUGAGCAUUGGCCUAGUCCGGUAUUAGUUUCUUGUAACCCCCAUGGUUAAAAGUAAUGCUUUUACAUGGUCCUAUAUUUCUAGUUGCUAUUGAAAGGACCACUUCUAGGAAAGUUGACUUGGCCCCUCCUUCCCACACCCUUCCACCAGACCACCACUCCCCACUGACACUUAUGUAAAUUUUAAGUUUAGGAAGAAUAAAAGGCAUGAAACUCUUGAAUCAAAUCACAUUAAACACCAAUUCCUUUGAUUAAAUGAGGGACUUACCUCUCCUUUUAUAGUCACCAGCGUGGCUCUUGUUAGCUCAAACCCCUCUUCUGUGAUACACUGAGAAAUUAAAACCAAGAUAACACGAGAACACUAAGACCAAGAUAUUUGAAAACAUAAUUCCAAUUAAAGCAGAGAUAAACUUUAUGAAUGUAACAGAUGAAGCUUGGGAUUUUGAAAUUAGAGCUCCAAUAUAAGUAUGUGACCUCCCAUGAACCAUUACCUACCAGCACUCUGUAUUUCCUAUCAAAAAAGGUGUCAUACAAUACUAAGUCGCUAAUUCUUAUCGCUUUUCCGAUAUAAUAUCCUUCCCCUUUUUGAAGACAAUAAGUAUAUAUCCCACAAGCCUCUACUAUCACUUCCAUAAUGUGACUCUCGAAAAAGAAGAAAAAACCCUCAAAAGAAAGGAGGACCAACCAAACACAAUUAAGUUACCCUGAAAGAUCACAGACGAAGAGCUUGAAUUUUAAAUUUUAUAGACACUAUAAGGGAAGAAAAGGACAAACAGAAAAACCCAUAUACAAGAACAAUUUUAAAAAACUAGAAUAACUAACAAAGCUACACCUGGGUGAAAGACUGUUGUUGUUUCCAUCUAUUUCUUUUGUUCCGAUAUCAUUUAUAUUUCAAAAUUCAUGCAACCAAAUCGAAGUCAGUAGUUAUCGACUACAUGAUAACUGAUACUUGAUUACACAAAAGACCACUCAACAAUAAAAAAGCUACUACACACGGAUAUGGGAUACAUGGAUACAGGAAAUCUCAAUAAUAUUAUGAUACUAUACAUCUAUAAUAUGUUGAAAUAAAUAUAUACUAUCAUAACUUUAAAGAAAAGCUAAACCCCAUUGCCAUGAUCAUGUUCAAUGGUUCACACAAAAUAAAAUUUAAGAUUCCAUAUCAAGCAGAACAGAAGAACUAAUUCAAGUAACUACAGAAAACAAAGCAGUGUUGUGUAUCACAGUACAAAAGCGGAAUCUUUACUGGUGGAAUAACACCCUAUACAUCAAUCAGCUAAUGAGUAUAGAUAAAUGGAAAAGAUGUGCUUCAACAUUGAACUUCCCUACAAGCCAACAGUUUUCUGAUACUUUAUUGAAAUAAACUAAACAUGUCCUUGUCUUUAAACAUUAAUGUUGAAGGAUUUACCAUCUCACAAUCAAGUGCUAACAUUUCAUUAGGAGAUGAUCCAGAAGGAGCAGGAAGAGUAGAAAGAAAACCUGCAUUAAAUUGAAGCAAUAUUCAUCCCCUUCAGUUGUUUUGUUAAGAAAGUAGCUUAAACUUAAAUAGAAAUAAAAGUUUAAUAACGAAAUCGCAUUAUCACGUAACCUGGUUGAUUGAGGACAUAAUUAUUGUCUUCCAAUUGUUUUGUUGUAAGAGUGUAAAAUGUAAUUGGGAAAGGUAGAUCUUUCAGAAGCUCCCCAGGGGAUGGAUCAUCUGUACAACAGCCACAUUUAUUGGUAUAAGAUCCACAAACAAUGACAAUGGUUUCAUGAAAAUGCAUAUAAAUGAACAGAUAUUACAUUUAGCACAUUCCACUAACAACAUGGUCUAAUCAGGGAAAAAAACAUGCAUGAUUUGAGUGAGAAAAUUACUUAAUUGAGUGAACAAAAGAUGAUAAUAGCAAAUAUUGAACUCAAUCAGAUGAUAUAAAUCAAACCUCAAAAUAGCAACUAGACCAAUGCAACAACUAGGAAACCUGAUAUGCAGUCUAUUUUCAGUUCAUGCAUAUUACUGAAACCUUGGAAACCCUUUUGUGUUUCAAGUGCUUGUCGCUUGCAAACUCCACUCACACAAGUUGGAAAAGCAUUCUCCUAGAAAAAUUUUACUGAUCUCUAACCAAUUCUUAGCUGUAUCAUUAAAAAAAAUUGCAGAGGAGAACAAGGUCAGAAACUCAGUAUGAAUGUCAAUGAAAGAACGAGUUAUAAACCAUGUUGAUUUUCCGGGUUGGAUUUUGUUCUAGCUGGAUCACUUUCUUCCCUCUUUCUUUUUAGUUUGCUUGUGAGGAGCGCAUCAAUUGUCUGAUUUUCAUGCGACAUAUAUCUGGCAUAGAUUUGAAAAGAAGAGAAGAAAUCAGUAACAACUGCAUAGCACAGGAAAUAGGUAAAUAAGUCUUCGAAAGUCACAGGAACAAAGAAAAUUUAUCACUCACCUGAGUGCUAAAACUGGCCUAGGUUUGCCACAGCAUUUUUCGAGACCCUUAAAUAGUCGAUGCUGCGAUAAAUAUAGAGCUGCAUCCAGGCCUGGAACAUAAAGCAUAACCACUUUGGGGAUGAGGGGCUUGUUCUGAAAAAAGUAAAGAGCACUGUAUAAUUAACUUCAAGAAUUUGUGUUACUUUCUACUGUAGGCUUGUCAUCAACCACGGCUCAAACAAAUAACAGAGAUAUUUAAGUAUACAAGGCAGGGUAAUGUUUCACAGCUUAGUGAGUUUUCCACCUAUAUGACGGGAUGACUAAGAAUCAUCUAUGUCCUAUCAAUUGAAUACAUCAGUUUUAGUAUGAACAGAAAAACAUACAUUAUCCUAUUUUUCGGCAAUACAACUGAAUACAGUUUAUUGGAAGCUAUCAUGCAUAUAGUGGAAUGAUCAAAAUUACAGGAAAAAUUACCAGUGCAUCAAUUACCUUAACAAAAACCCAAGACGGCAUGAAUCCAUCAGCAAGCACCCACGUCACUAGUUGUUGAACUUCCUGCAUCGCAACACAAACUCCAUUCAUUCUUUCGUUUCUCAAUUUAUAAAAAAUCAACUUGGAAUCAGGUUUUAAACCACCCUCUCACAAAAAAUAGAGAGAUAAAGUACUUAAAAACAUACUUCGAAAUUCAGAGUAGAGCUAGCUUCUGGAGUCUUGAACUCCACACCUGCUUUAGCCUGCAGAAAAGGCAUACAACAUCAAACACAAAUGCACUAGAGCUCACAAUAAUAACGAUCAAACUCAAGGUUCUAUACACCAAUGCAUAUUAUAGUUAACACUUGCAACCGAAAAUCGAAUCCAAGUAGCUUUCAAGUUGCAGAAACAAAAACCUAGCAUUUCAAAUUUUAUCGCGAUGAAUUCAUAGUAAGCCUAAUAACGAAUUGAUUGAAUUACAGAAAAAUAAACAAAAACUGAGAAAGAGAGAGAGUUACUUGAGGGCCGUAAACGUCGUAGAAAUUGGAGGUUUUGGCAUUGGCUUCGUCUCUGUUUGAGUCGUCUUCCUCGGGAGCUAUAUCUUCUUCUUCUUCGCGUUUACUGUGCGACGAAGGCAUGCUCACUCUCUCUCUCUCUCUGAAGAAGAAGCUCAAAAUGAAGAAGAUGCAUAAACCCUCUUCUUGAAUCUAAUUUGGGCCGACCCGAAUCGGGACCCGGUGACCCGGUUGGUGAAAUUACCAGAAAGGGCUUGAGAGGGAGCUUUUUCCUUUUUGUUUAUAGGGUUUCUUGUGCCACCAAAACAUUUCCAAAGUUUGAGAGAGAGAGAGAGAGAGAACGAGAGAGUAGGGCAAGAUGAUGAACAGGGGAGGUAACAAGGGAGGUGGUAGGUCAGUGGUGCAGCAGCCGAUAGGGCAGAAGAGGCUGACAAACGUGGCGGUGGUUCGUCUCAAGAAGCGCGGCAAUCGCUUCGAAAUCGCUUGCUACAAGAACAAGGCCCUCUCCUGGCGCUCCGGCGUGUAAGCUCUCUCUUUCUAAACCCUAGUUUCUUUCUUUCUAGAGGUUUCGAUACACUGCUAUGCUCUUUCAGUUUAAUUUUCGUGAAUUAGGUUAACAUAAUUUCAGUUUGAUAUGGAUUUUGCUGUUUCUUAGUGCAUAUUGCUCAUGAUUAUGGAGAUUUUAUGUAUCCGAGUAAUCUAACGCCGCUGAGUUACUUGUGAUUGAUAGUUUGGAGUAUAAAUCUGUGUGGAGACUGAACUUUGCUGUUGUUUAGUGCAUUUUGCUGAAGAUUAUGGAGAUUUUAUGUAUCUAAGUAAUCGAAUGCUGCCGAAUUACUUGUGAUUGAUCAUUUGGAGUAUAAUCUGUGUGGAGACUGAGGUGUUUAUGAGCAAUGUGUUGAUAAUUUAUACAGUGAGAAAAGAAAGUAUCUAAAGAAGAGGAUGUAUAAAAUAAUUGAAUGCUGAGUAAGUUGUGAAGAGUUUAUGUGCAGUGUGUUAAUUUUAGUUCCAUCAGAGGAAGUUGCAUUUUAUAGAGUAGGAAGAGUAUAAACAAGAUGCUAAUGGUUUUCUUUUGAGGCAGAGAGAAAGAUUUGGAUGAGGUGCUGCAGUCAAAGACGGUGUACUCAAAUGUUUCCAAAGGUGUUCUUGCCAAGACCAAGGAUUUGGUAGCUGCAUUUGGGUCGGAUGAUCAGACCAAGAUAUGUUUAGAGGUCAGACAAGUAAAAUGUAUGCCUUAAGGGUUUGAUUAGUUUUGUGAAUACAAUAUUGAUUUGAGUUUUUUCUUUUUUAUGUUAUAGAUCUUGGAUAAAGGGGAGCUUCAGAUCGCUGGGAAGGAGAGAGAAUCUCAGUUGUCCAGUCAGUUUCGGGAUAUUGCCACAAUUGUGAUGCAGAAAACCUAUAAUCCAGAGACUCGGCGCCCUUACACUAUCAGUUUGAUUGAGAGGUUGAUGCACGAAAUUCAUUUUAAUGUGGAUCCUCACAGUGGCUCAAAGAAGCAGGUGAGUUAUUGUGAUCUCUUCUGUACCUUAUGCAAGAACUAAAGUAGUGAAUUAUCCCUGUUGUUUACACUGCUAUCCAAAUGGAAUACUAUAUGAUUUCAUUAAUGGUAGAGAUGAAGUCUGAAAGGGUCUGUUAGCUUUAUGUUGGUUGUGUAGUCAUCUGUGGAGUAUAUAUGUAUGUAUUUGGAGAGUGUUGAUCCUAAGAAAAUUUCAGAAUAUGAAAUCUAAGAGUUGCAUGUUUUUUAUCAGUUGAAAGGUACUACAUUUAAAUUUCAUUUUGCAUAUAGCUAAAGGUUAAUACUAUUUUUCUGCAGGCCCUUGAAGUCAUUCAUGAGCUGCAGAAGCAGUUCCCAAUCAAAAGAUCUCCCAUGAGGUUGCGACUCACGGUUCCUGAGCAGGAAGUCUCAGCACUCCUGGAGAAGCUUACAACUUGGAAUGCUUCCAUUGUUUCAAAAGAUCCAACAGGAAAUCAGCUAUCCAUUGUAAGUGAAAGAAAUUUGCUACUUUACAUGGGAAGUCAUUUCCUAAACUGCUGGGAUUCUUUCAAGCUUGUCUUAACUAAGUUGCAUGUAUGCAUCCCACAUCAUGGGAGUAGAUUUGAAUUCUAUCUGCUGGUCCUAAUGUAUUUUAUUGUUUUAUAGAUCUGUGAACAUCAUGGGAGUAGUUUUGAAUUCUAUCUGCUGGUCCUAAUGCGUUUUAUUGUUUUGUAGAUCUGUGAACUGGACCCUGGUUUGUAUCGGGACUGUGAGGGCUUGUUGAUGGCACUGCAUGGAAGGUAUGAAGUUCUUGCUCUCUCUGUGCAUGCAGAGGGUGACACAGUUAUUGAUCAACACGAAGAAUAUGAGGAUGAACCACCACGCUCACUCAUUGAAUCAGCUGAUUCUGAAUCAUCAAAGAAGAAAGGAACUAGUGAUUCUGACUUGGCAAAGAAGGAUUCAUCUGAUUCAGCAAUUCAACUGAGUGAGAAAAUGCAAGCACAGAGCAUCUCUACUGGGAAUGUGAAGGCCACCACAGGGGAAGGAAAACAAAGCAAAUGCAGCACUUGCAAUGCAUCUUUUGGCGAUUCCAAGCUGUUCAGGGAUCACUUCAAGAGUGAGUGGCACAAGCAGAAUUUGAGGCGCAAGAGCAGGCAACUCCCUCCUCUUACUGAAGAUGAGUGUGCAGCUGACAUUGACAUGGAUGAUUCUAAGGCGGACUUGAAGGAUUAUUCUUUCUGAAUGGGGUUCAGAUGUUAUAUUUGGAAGCCUGAGGUGGUGGUUAUACUGCUUCGAUCAGAGGUGAAUGAAAGUGUAAAGGUUUUUGCAGAAUUAUGUACUCAUGAAAACAGCCAAACUAUUAACCUAGCUAUAUGUAUAACUGUAUUAAAACCUUGUAAGGUAGUUUGUCUCUACAGGCUGAAAUUCCUAUAUAACUAGUCAAUUACUAUUAAUCUCUGAUGCUUGAAUUACAUAUCAAUUCCGCAUCAGAUUGCAUGAGAGCAUCCUCAUCAAGAAAGAAAAAAAGUUUGUUCCUGGGCAAGAGAGCUGUACCUAUGAGCAGUAAUAAAAAAAAAAAUACUGCAUGAUGUAUGGGCCCAUAGGCUGGUUAUCAUGAUCCUCUCGAACCUCAAGUGUUUGAACAUCUUCUCUCCAAAUCUCCUCCCAACUUAAGAUUGGAACAAUUGCGCAGAUCAAGCGACUCGAGAUGAGAACAAAUAUCAAGGAUGUUGGCCAAGCAAUCACUGGUCACUGCAUUCACAAAAAGCUGGAGGUGGCGUGAACCAGGCAUUGUUCCGGCCAUGGCAAGUGCCUGUUCAAUAGAACUUGCAUCAUUAGAGAGUUUUCGUGUGAGUUUUUGGGUGAAAUUUCAAGGUCCUCCAGGCUCCAGCAGUGGAAAUUAUGGAUUGAAUUACUUAAUCCCUCGUUAGUUACUGAGCAACUGUCCAAAAUAAGACGUCUGAUUCGAAGUGAACUGUUGCAAAGUUUGAAAACCAAUGUCAGACAAUAUAGUGAUACUAACACAAAAUGUACACAGAACUAAUUCUAAGUUUCCAACAUGCUAGACACUUCAUUUUGAUGCAUAUAUAUGAACCAAAAGACUUGACAUAAUGAUUUCUAAUGCAUACCAGUCAGUGAUAUACUCAAGAAGUGCAUCGCUAUACCAAAGUUCUGGAAGCUGAUAUCGACCAGAUUACCACAGCUCCGAUCAAUGGCGUGUCACCACAUCUUUUCCAACUCCAUCUGCUCAUCGAUCAGGACUGUAAUAAGAACCAUCAUUGUGCAAAUUGAUUCUGCACCACAUAAGAGGGGGGGUGUCCUUGCAUAUUUUACGCCACGCCAUGACAAUUUAGUCAUCUUAAGUUCAUAACCGAACGCCCAACACAUGAACGCCCAACACAUGAUAAUAAGGUCAAGAUCUAGCAUACACAAUAGAUCAAAGGAAGAUUCAGCUCCCACAUACACUAACGUACACAAGGUCCCUUGAUUGCAGAAGAGUUUGUCUAUUAAACUUAUCCUCGAUCGUCUCUAAGAAACAAGUCAAAGAGGCAAGUCUUUCGAAUCAUACAAGAUACAUACAACCAUGCAUCAAUCCUGUCAAGUUUAAGAAACAGGACUUACUACAAAAUUAUAACAUGUUAAUGGACUACAAACUUGUAUCUAUAAAAGAAAAAGGGACAAUGCCCACUAGCUCUAAUUUUAAGAAUUUUAUUCCCACUAACAAAAUCAGAUUUUAAAUUCCCAGAGCCAAACUAAACAACAGAAAGAUAAUUAUACUCUUAAUGAAUUAAAUAAACUACAAUAGACCAUUAUGAGAGUCUAUUAUAAAAUAAAGUUUCUAUGACCAAAUUCUCACGACCAAUAACGUUGACGGGCUUCGGGGCCAUUGACCUAUUCCUUCGUCACUAUCUUAUUAAUGCUGAAGUUUAGUCUUCCGAAAACACAAACUUGGAUAUCUUGACUUGCAAGAAAACAAACAUGAAGAAUAGGUUUAAUAGACACACCGCAAUAUAUAUCACAAGGCGCCUUUCACCUCUCCGCCUUCCACCUCCAAAACCCUAAAGUCCUAAACCCUAAAGCAAGAUUACCUUUUGCGACUUGCUUACUAUAUAUAAUCACCUCCGGCCGGUUUCUUUCGUUCUUCCUAAAGCUCGAGCUCCUCUAAUGGAUCUCAAUAACCCAAUAGAACCUGCAAACGAAAACCAAAAAACAACAAAAAAGGCUCUAAAACAAUCCAUCACCAACCAAACCAACGUCGGACUGGAGAUCACGAAGCAUCUCCUUCAAACUGAUGAGUUCAAGAACACAAACAUGGUGUACUCGCCGCUAUCCAUCUACAUCGUCCUGAGCAUAGUAGCCGCCGGGAAAAGUGGUUCCGAUCAGGACCGGUUUCUUUCUUUUCUCAAGUCCAAGUCCGUGGACGACCUCAACUCCCUCGCCUACCAUCUCAUCACUUGCGUUCUAGCCGACGGAUCGGAUCGGCCAAAGGAGGGCCAUGUUUGAACUUGGCCAAUGGUUUAUGUCCAAACCUCUGACAAUUCCUACAAAGAGGUGGCGUGCUGCGUGCAGGUCUUACAAGGCAACCCUAAAGAAGUCGAUUUCAAGGCCAACCCAGAGAAAGUAAGAGUGGAAGUGAACUCAUGGGUGGAGAAGGAGACACAAGGCCUCAUCACUGAUAUUCUUUCUCCAAACUCAGUCACCGACCUAACAAGACGCAUCUUUGCAAGUGCUUUAUACUUCAAAGGCUCUUGGAGUGAGCAUUACGACUUCUAUGAACCAUACACGUACUCAGAAGAAGAGAAUCAUCAUGAGUUUCAUCUCCUCAAUGGGGACACAAUCAAGGGAGUACCUUUUAUGACGAGCAGUGACUCCCACCUUAUUAAGGCUUUUGACGGCUUUAAAGUCUUGAAACUUAUUUACCAAUCAGAUAAUGAACAUUACGGCCGAAGCGGAAGCUUCUCUACGUGCUUGCUUCUUCCAGACGCAAUAGAUGGGCUGCCAGCUCUAGCUGCGAGAGUUUGUUCAGAGCCCGGUUUCAUAGAUGGUCAUCUUAGCAGUACAAUCCUAGAAUGGGUUGAAGUGGCAUGGGUAAGUUCUUGAUUCCAAAGUUUAAGUUUUCUUCGGCGUUUGAAGCUACUGGUAUUCUGGAGAAACUAGGACAGGCAAAUUUGUUAGACAAUGUGAAAAUAGUUCAUGAAUCCAUGAUUGAAGUUGAUGAACAUGGAGCAACAGCUGCAGCUGCUACUGUUUAUGAGGAAGAGUAUGGUGACGAAAUGGGUAGUGAUAGCGAUGAUGAGGAGCCUCGAAAAGAAGACUUUGUGGCGGAUCACCCAUUCAUGUUCUUCAUCAGGGAAGACAGGGCUGGAACAGUGCUGUUUAUGGGACAUGUGCUCAAUCCCAUUGCUGCAGGCUGAUUACUAUUUUUAUUUUAUAUUAUUAUUUAUUCUAGCAAUUCGGUUGAUUCUUGUUAAUUAAGUUAAUUACGUUUUGGACCAUAUUCUUUAUUAGAGUAAAUGACACUUUAGUACUAAUUUUAAAGGUUUAUUGCCCAUUUCAAUGAAAAUCUCUUUACCAACCCCAUUCCAAUGAAUUCUAAUAAAAUGACGUCAAUACCCUCACCCUAAUUUAACUUUUUUUCUCCUUUUUUUUCCCGAUCAUUAACUCUCUCUCUCUCUCUCNNNNNNNNNNNNNNNNNNNNNNNNNNNNNNNNNNNNNNNNNNNNNNNNNNNNNNNNNNNNNNNNNNNNNNNNNNNNNNNNNNNNNNNNNNNNNNNNNNNNNNNNNNNNNNNNNNNNNNNNNNNNNNNNNNNNNNNNNNNNNNNNNNNNNNNNNNNNNNNNNNNNNNNNNNNNNNNNNNNNNNNNNNNNNNNNNNNNNNNNNNNNNNNNNNNNNNNNNNNNNNNNNNNNNNNNNNNNNNNNNNNNNNNNNNNNNNNNNNNNNNNNNNNNNNNNNNNNNNNNNNNNNNNNNNNNNNNNNNNNNNNNNNNNNNNNNNNNNNNNNNNNNNNNNNNNNNNNNNNNNNNNNNNNNNNNNNNNNNNNNNNNNNNNNNNNNNNNNNNNNNNNNNNNNNNNNNNNNNNNNNNNNNNNNNNNNNNNNNNNNNNNNNNNNNNNNNNNNNNNNNNNNNNNNNNNNNNNNNNNNNNNNNNNNNNNNNNNNNNNNNNNNNNNNNNNNNNNNNNNNNNNNNNNNNNNNNNNNNNNNNNNNNNNNNNNNNNNNNNNNNNNNNNNNNNNNNNNNNNNNNNNNNNNNNNNNNNNNNNNNNNNNNNNNNNNNNNNNNNNNNNNNNNNNNNNNNNNNNNNNNNNNNNNNNNNNNNNNNNNNNNNNNNNNNNNNNNNNNNNNNNNNNNNNNNNNNNNNNNNNNNNNNNNNNNNNNNNNNNNNNNNNNNNNNNNNNNNNNNNNNNNNNNNNNNNNNNNNNNNNNNNNNNNNNNNNNNNNNNNNNNNNNNNNNNNNNNNNNNNNNNNNNNNNNNNNNNNNNNNNNNNNNNNNNNNNNNNNNNNNNNNNNNNNNNNNNNNNNNNNNNNNNNNNNNNNNNNNNNNNNNNNNNNNNNNNNNNNNNNNNNNNNNNNNNNNNNNNNNNNNNNNNNNNNNNNNNNNNNNNNNNNNNNNNNNNNNNNNNNNNNNNNNNNNNNNNNNNNNNNNNNNNNNNNNNNNNNNNNNNNNNNNNNNNNNNNNNNNNNNNNNNNNNNNNNNNNNNNNNNNNNNNNNNNNNNNNNNNNNNNNNNNNNNNNNNNNNNNNNNNNNNNNNNNNNNNNNNNNNNNNNNNNNNNNNNNNNNNNNNNNNNNNNNNNNNNNNNNNNNNNNNNNNNNNNNNNNNNNNNNNNNNNNNNNNNNNNNNNNNNNNNNNNNNNNNNNNNNNNNNNNNNNNNNNNNNNNNNNNNNNNNNNNNNNNNNNNNNNNNNNNNNNNNNNNNNNNNNNNNNNNNNNNNNNNNNNNNNNNNNNNNNNNNNNNNNNNNNNNNNNNNNNNNNNNNNNNNNNNNNNNNNNNNNNNNNNNNNNNNNNNNNNNNNNNNNNNNNNNNNNNNNNNNNNNNNNNNNNNNNNNNNNNNNNNNNNNNNNNNNNNNNNNNNNNNNNNNNNNNNNNNNNNNNNNNNNNNNNNNNNNNNNNNNNNNNNNNNNNNNNNNNNNNNNNNNNNNNNNNNNNNNNNNNNNNNNNNNNNNNNNNNNNNNNNNNNNNNNNNNNNNNNNNNNNNNNNNNNNNNNNNNNNNNNNNNNNNNNNNNNNNNNNNNNNNNNNNNNNNNNNNNNNNNNNNNNNNNNNNNNNNNNNNNNNNNNNNNNNNNNNNNNNNNNNNNNNNNNNNNNNNNNNNNNNNNNNNNNNNNNNNNNNNNNNNNNNNNNNNNNNNNNNNNNNNNNNNNNNNNNNNNNNNNNNNNNNNNNNNNNNNNNNNNNNNNNNNNNNNNNNNNNNNNNNNNNNNNNNNNNNNNNNNNNNNNNNNNNNNNNNNNNNNNNNNNNNNNNNNNNNNNNNNNNNNNNNNNNNNNNNNNNNNNNNNNNNNNNNNNNNNNNNNAAAAAAGAUUAUCAUUGAAAUGAGGUUUGACUUUUUCUAUUUUGUGCAAAUGGUCUUUUUCCCUUUUUAUUAUUCUUGUUAAUUAAGUUAAUUCGGUUGAUUCUUGUUAAUUAAGUUAGAGUUUGUUAAUUACGUUUUGGGACCAUUUUUUUUUUUUUUUUUUUUUAAUUACAGUAGUACUGUUGUUUUCUGAUUAAUGUCCAAGUCGAAGAACAGGAUUCUGGAGCGACAAAUUGUUCUAUAUAACGUCAAAGGGUAUAGUAGUUGUGAAGGGUGUUGCAGCCAAUUUAUUAGAUAAAAUAGGUACAGCUGUAUGAAAAAUUGAAGAUGGUACUGAUUUGCUUGGUCUCGGGCCAACCAGUUGCUUGGUCUCGUCUCUAUUUCUCUAAUUUUUCUCACCUUCAAAUACCAGGCUGCGCAAGUACUGAGCAUUAGAAGGCCCUGUACUUCUGAUCAUCUUGGAGAAUCCGCUCUCUUCAUUCAGCAGUAGUUCUUCUGGGGAACCAUGUUCCAGGACCUAACCGGGGAGAUCGAAAGUUAUGAAUGGAUAGUUUCUCUUGAAACCAAAGGUUAAAGAAUAAGCAUUACCCUAGGGUUUCUACUUUCUUCUUAUGCAAGCAAUAUAUCCCCUAAACAGAAGAUGCAGGAAUUGCAUUAAAGUGAAGGCAUACCUGACCAGCAUCAAGAACAAGAAUUCGAUCACAGUCAAUAAUGGUGUUCAAUCUGUGAGCAAUAACAAGCAUGGUGCAAGAUUUGAAUUCUUCACGUAUGGUUUUUUGGAUGAGAGCAUCAGUUCUAACAUCCACAGCUGCAGUUGCUUCAUCAAGAACAAGAAUCUUUGAUCUCCGUAGCAAUGCUCUAGCAAGACUUAUUAGCUGCCUCUGUCCAACACUGAAAUUCUCACCACCCUCAGAAACCUUGAUUCAUUAAUGACAAUAUUAAAAAUCAUACAUUAGUUUCUCUAUUUAGAUAUAUCAAGACAUUAUACAAUCCAAAAUACCAUCAGUCUGUUCGUUUCAACAACUAGAUUAUCUGCUAUUCAAUGCAUCCGAGUGAAGAAAUGAAAAACGGGAGUUACAGUUCAACUAAGCAUUAUCAGACCCUAUACUUAACCAAUAAAAAGGAGGCUUUACCUCAGCAUCGAGACCGAAGGACUUCCUUCUAAUGACAUCCUUUAGAUGCGCCCUUUCUAGGGCUUCCCAGAGGUCAGCAUCAUUAUACUCACUGAAAGGAUCAAGAUUAAACCGUACAGUUCCUACACAAGAUAGAAUGACCAUUAUUCAAGCAUCUCAUAAGGUCUAGCAUGGUUAUAUUUACGUUGCAAAAUCACAUUAGCUCAAUUAAAGUACAUACCUGAAAAAAGAACCGGUGAUUGGGGUAUGAUGCUAAGGACUUUGCGCAAAUCUGCCAGUCCAAACUUAGAAACAUCACAACCAUCAAUCAAGAUUCUUCCAUUUUCUAUUUCUACUAUCCUAAACAAUGCAUUAAUCACACUAGAUUUCCCAGCACCAGUUCUUCCAACCAUUCCUAGCUUCUCACUUGCAGAAACUGUAUAUGAUAAUCCGUGCAGUACUGGUAGAAGUCCAGGCCUAUAACAGAGGACAACAUCCUCAAACUUGAUUGUUCCUGAUGAUGGCCACCCAUGUGGGGGACGAUUGCUUUCAAUAACAGCUGGAGCCUCAGAAGGCAAAUCUAUAUAUGUUCCAACCCGCUCAACAGCAUUUAAACUAUUUUCAGCCCUGCUUGCUCGUCUAAGAACAUCACUCAACAGACUUGUGAUAUUCAAAGUAUAAGUAAGAAGUAGACCCAUUGUAGAUGCAAAUUGUACUUGGUUUUCUGCUCUUCCAUUUUGCAUGACAGCAAAGGUUGCUAUCACCCAAAUCAUGAUACCUCCUAGUGUUUCCAACCUUAUAGCAACCCAGCGGUUUGAGCCACCAAUCGCAAGAGUGAAUCUGAUAUUAUUAUCCAUAGACCUUCCGUUAAUGAUUGCCAUCCAAUCAUAAGCUUGAUAGGCACGAAUUGAUGACAAACCAUUUAAUGCUUCUCCAAACUGUGCAUAAACAGGAGAUCUGGUAAUGGAAUCCAAGCGUUUCACUUCACGGGAUGUGCUCUGUGAAACAAAUUCAAUAUCAUAUUUUGAGUUUGAUGCACAUUAAUAUAGUCAGGUAAAUAAGAGCUGAUACCACAAUAAACAUACCUGAUAGAAGAGAUAGGCUGCAUAGAACAAAAUUAGAAGUGGCAUUAUGGCCCAGAGGGAUAUUGUGCUCACAAUGCCUAUGAGCACAAAACUCGAAAGGAGCUGCCAUACUUGACCCAGGAACGUGUUUAUAUAAUCGGCUACAUUGUGAUCUAUAUCAUCCAGAUCCUUUGCAAACCUAUUGAUCAUCCUCCCAGUUGGGUUAGUGUGAAAGAACAGCAUUGGAGCUUUUAGUACAGCAUGUAGCAAUGCGUCAUGCAAAUUUUGGCUUGCACGAAGACUUGAAGUGAUUAGCCAAAAAGAAUUCGUCAGAGUCACUGUUACCUGAGUCAAGUAAUGUGGAUUAAGCGCCUUCAAACCACAUCACGGUCACAACUAUGAUAGUUUUCUUUUAUGAACAUGCAAAAUCUUUUUUUCUGUUAUGUGAAUAACACACUUCACAAUAUAUUAUAAGAGAAACACCCCAAAUUGCAGCGAAUAUAAACCACAGUAGAACUAUUGAGGUUUCAUAAGACAAUUUUCUGUGCAAGGGAUUGUGAGAUUCUGCAACUUAAAAAUAACGCUACAACUGUAGAAAUACAAUAUAAUAGGAUAACAUAUAACAAAGAACAAUCUAACGUGCAUGUACCAACUCUCGACAUACCUGACCAAUUGAGAGAAUCACAAAUAUAAGCAUGUAGAAUCCAGGUGUAUAAAUCUUUGACCAGCUUUGACUUGUCCAAAAACUUAACCAUGUGCUGCUUGAAACUCGAAGGACUUCUGUUAGUGUAUAACAAGUAAUUAGACCCAUGACCACCCGUAGCCCACCUAAUGAAAGUUUAUACCUGCCAACAAUGAACAAAGCGUUAUUCACCAAUUCACUAUGAUCAUAUAAGCCAAGUUUUCAUGUAGAGAAGGAAACUCAUACAGCUCCUGCUCAGCUUAUUCCCCUUUGCUUGACAAAAAAGAACAAUACUAGGUUACAAUUAUAUACCAACUCCAACCAGAGCAAUAUACAGAAAAGCAUAUAUAUCCUCAAAUUCAUUCAACCGUUAAGCCUAUAAUAUUUUGACAAUCUAUGUUUCCUAGAAGUAAUCUACUUCAUCUUUUUAUUAAGACUCUCUUGAUGCUUAAAUCUUUGAAGAACAAUUCAGUGUCUUACCUCUGUAAAACUUUCCAACUUACAACACCUGUUUCCCGUUCCUCUUGUUUAAUGAGUACAUAUCUCAUCCCUUUCUCUUUCACUUUCCCUUUCUCUUUCAUUUUCCCUUUCUUGGUGUAGCAUGCAUCUUUUAGAAAGUCACUUACAACCCCAUUCGACACAGGUUGUGACGUUUCCACGUAAUCAGUUUUAUUGUCUGCUUUUUCUUCUACACGUUCAUCCAUCUUCCCUGCAUUUUCCAUUAGCUUCUGGAACAACAAACUGUUUUGGGAGAGAUCCAUAAAGGUUCCCUUCUCUUUAAUUUUACCGUCUAAGACUAAUAUAAUUUCAUCCACUUGAGGCAGAAAGUGUAGCUGAUUUGUGACAAGCACCCUAGUUUUCCCUUGCAACUCUUCCAUGAUACAGCGGUUAAAAACCUAAAAAGAACUUGGUUCAGUUGAAAGACAAUGAUCUCAACUAACAACAUAAAAUUUACAAAAACUCACAAUUAAAAAGUUUCAGAAAAUGAGUUCAAGUUGAUUUUUUUAAAUGUAUCAGCAUGGUAAGAUUAUAAGUACAACCCUGAGAUGAUACUACAUAGAUUUAAAUAAUACCUGUCUAGCAACAUGAGCAUCUAUAGCACUUAAUGGAUCGUCAAAUAUGUAAACAUCCGAAUUAGAAUAUACAGCUCUAGCCAUUGAAACCCUUUGCUUUUGACCACCACUAAUAUUGACCCCUCUUUCACCUAUCUCUGUUAGAUCUCGACCCUGGAAAAUCAGGUGCAGUAGUUAACAUAUGGGAAUGUUUACAUAUUAAUGAGAAGUAACGAAAAAGAUAAAACUUCAUAAUUCACUUACUGGAAGUAAGUCUAGGUCAUGAUGGAACUCAGUUACAUCAAUAGCCUUCCAAUACCGUUCAGCUUCAAAUUCAGAUCCAAAUAAAAUGUUUUCACGUACCUGGAAGAAUAUGAUUAACAUCUCCUAAGUACUUGUAGGGGUAAGAGAUGACUUUGAAAUUGAAAGGAAAGCCAAGGUACAUUGAAUUCUAUAGGCUUCUAAAGAAGAGAAGCUGUGACUCACAGUAGCAUUGAAAAUCCAUGAAACUUGUGGAACAUAAGCAACAGUCCCCCUAAUUACAACCCCUGCAUCUGCAAUGGGAGGCAGCUCCCCAAGCAUGGCUGAUAUAAGAGAUGUCUUUCCUUCUCCUGUGCCGCCAACAACUGCAACUAAGCUGCCAACUGUAAUAUCUAAGUUGAUGUUUGAUAAUGUGGGCUUUUCUGCCUGCAUAAUGAAAGAAGGAGAAGAUAGGGGUUAUCAACACGUCUCUGCAUAUUAAAAAAAAAAUUGAGAAUCACCUUUCAAAAAAAAAUUGAGAAUCAACGUGCUGCUAGCAUCAUCACGUACAUUACUUUCUUUUCAGGAAAAAUUUCCAGAUUCAUACCUUUCUAGUCCCCUUAAAAAACUAAUAUCUCUUUUCUGGUAAAACCAUUAGUACGAAUUCCAAUUCACUGAUAUAAUAGCAUCUUGAUUUCUUCCACUUCACAGGUGUUUCCAUGUAUUCUAAGCUAUGACGGCACAGUCAACCAUAGAGCUCAAUGGUUUACAUGUCAUCUAAUUAGAUUGUGGUAAAACAAACAGCUUUCGGAUGAAAAACUAAAAGUUUGAGACAAAAAGAAGAAAAUAAUCAAAAGAUAUCUUAUGCAUUCCACUUGGUAAACAUUCCCAAUUAUAUCAACAUCAGUGAAAGCAAAAUACUUGAACCUUUUUUUAACAGUUCAUGUCUCAUAGACGUUAAGUUUCUAAACCUUUACCUUGCAUUUGGCUAUCUCCUUCAGAUUGGAAAAGAAACUUACUAAGCUUUUAUAAGCAUGUGACACUAGACAUGAAUACUUGGCAAAGAACAGAGGUUGAAAAUACUGUUGACACCAAAUACACAUAUUCUAAUCAAUAAUGCAGAGUAAAUUCUCGACUUACUAAAUACAUAAUUCUAAAGAUAAAAGACCACACCUCUGAAUCCCAUGAAAAGUACCCCUUCUGAAUUGAGAUGGCUGGAAGCCCUGGUUCCAGAGGUGGAUUGGGUGCUAGAAUUCUCUCCUCAGUUGAAAAUAGUUCCUCCAACCGCUGUAAGGAUACAUUUGCAUUUACAAUCUGUCAAGGAAGAGCAGGUCCAUAGAUGAAGAGACCAACUAGGAGAAUUGGAUGACACACCCAUAAUCACAAAAGAAAGUAAAAUACAAGAUCUACCAAUUAAGUGUAAAUGAGAUGAAAUAAAUGUAGGUGAUAUGAAUUAGUAAACAGAUAAGAAGCCCAUGCUACCUGACUUAGUAAGUUGGGCAGCAUAUUUACAGGGAACCGUAGCACUGCAAAAAGAGAAAGUGAUGUAAAUGCCCUUGCAGGUGUCAAUUCGCCUCCAAGAAAAGUGAAUGCCCCAAACGAAAUUACUGUCACAACAACUGGGAUGCUGCGUAGAAUAAAACUGUUAAACUGCAAAACCAAGACAUUUGAUCAGAUAAACUAUGACCCAUGAGGUGACAAAUAACUAAUCCAUAGUAAUGUUCUGCCCGAAUUAAAUAUUAUGAAUCCAGCGAGUAAACAGUUACUUAUCCAUACAUAAUCAAUUUAAGUACUGAACCAUCUGCACAAAUUAUAAAGGAAUUGUAAAAACUGUGCCUCUUACAUUUUGUUUGAGAUUGUAGCUGUACGUUAUUACAAUAUCCCUAAUUAAGUUAAUCUAGGUUGAUACCUUAUUCCAUGCUCAAAUGUGUCACAGAGAAAUCAAAAUUUUUACCAAUAAUAAAUCACUCUAGAGUGUACCACUAUACCGCACUAGAAUACAAGCAUGUAACUACAAUGAUAUGACCUUGUCAGCCUCAUAAAUAGCUGCAUUUGCAAAUUAUGAAUAUGAGCAAAGUGAAGAGGCUUUAAAGGGUGUGAUAACAAUUCGUAUAGACACUCAGUUUCAAAUGAAUGCAAAAUCAGAACCAACGGUUACUUCUCUGAUAGUCGAUAAUGAAGGGAAGGCUUGAAAUUGAAAUUUUCCACAUGAUUGUGGUUUAUGAUUCCUUCAUCUUAUAGAAAGUACAUAAUUGAAAAGAAGAAGUGUUGUGUCGUACAGCAGAUAGUAAUUGCACUUUACGCAACCUCGAAAGCUCAUUGUUCCGUAUACUUUGAACUCGCUGCUGAAAACUUGUCUCCCAGGCAUAACAUCUGAAACAUAAUAUCAUAUUAAUGAAUAAUAAUAAUAAUAAACAUCACUGCUAGACUAUCUAGAAUAAUCUAAUUCAGUCAUACUUCACAGUGUCCAUGGCAGCUAAAAUUUCAUUCAUGAGGCCAACUCUCUUGUCAGUCUGUUGCAGUCCAUCCUUUCUUAGUUUCCGCAUUUUGCUGAUAAUAGUUGUCUAUUUAGAAAAAAAAAUUAGAUAAAAUGACUCAUUAUAGUAAUUUUUGAUGGACAAAAUCCAAUAGUGGAAGUGACACUAUAGGAGUAACUGAGAUCUAAGCAAUACACUAACUCACUAGUCUUGCAAACAAAUUCAAACAGACAACCAUACAACUAGCAGUAACUUUCACGAGGGAAAUGAAUACAAAUGAAAGCAAACAAUGUUAAGGUUUUCUAAGCUCGAACAUAUGAGAAAAGUCUAUAAAGGGAUAACACAGCCUGUUGAAGCAGAAGAGCCAAAAAAGAAUAAUAAUGACAUGCUGACCUGGAUGGGGAUCGUGAGGACUAGCAUCAAGGAUCCAAUAAGCGAUGCAACACCUAAUUGUUGGUAAAGAAGAACCAUAGCUAUAAUGAUACGGAAAGGAGCCGACCAUAGUUCGUGAAGUUGUUCACAUGUUUUCUAAAUCAUAAGAAAGGCCAAGUUAUUUAAAAGUUUAUUAUUCAAGCCUUGGUAAACAGCAUUUCAAAGAAUAAACUAGCUUUGUAUACCGAAAGACAACUGUAAGCAGUAGUGGAGCUUUCUAAGGUAAAACAUGAGACAAUGAAUUGUGGAGAACAUGAGGGGGGGGGGGGGGAGAGAGAGAGAGAGAGAGAGAGAGAGAGAGAGAGAGAGAGNGNGNGNGNGNGNGNGNGNGNNNNNNNNGAGAGAGAGAGAGAUAGAGAUCAGCUUCGAAUAUUUAGAUCUUUAUGUUUAAAUGUCUCCACAAAAGUCUACAAUUUUUUAGACUUAUAUAGAAUUCCUUCAUGUAUGACAAUACCUCUACUUGACCAUACCUGGAGUGCAAUAGCAUCUGUAGACAUCAUAUUUGUUAUCUUCCCAGUUGGGAACUUCUUACGGCCCUCAUGUGUUAUUCUUAUAGAUUUACGGAAUAUAGCAGCUACCUACAAAUUAGUAAAACAAAGCAAUUAACUUUUAAUGAAUCACACAACAUGAAACUGAGUUGGGCAGUUGAACUUCAAAUUAUAUUAUAUUUGCUUUGUUAUACAGAAAUUUACCAAAGUUGAUCUCAAUCGAUAGCCGACCCGCAUAAUAUUCUGGUAAUAGUGAGAUUCAGGGAGCACACCAAAUGACUAGACAAAGAUGAAUAAACUUGUCAACAUAGUUCACUAUCUUUUGAAUCAACAGUUCUUAUUAAUAAACAAGAUGUUACUUGAGAAAAGUCCGAGAUAGAAGCCAUACCAAACCAAUGAAAAUUAAGAAGGCAUAUAUAUAACCAAUCCAAGCUGGAUCACCCCGUUGCAUUGACUGCAGGGAAUAGCAAGACAGGCAAGAUGAUUACAGACACUGUUGAAACCGUUAAAUACAAGUAAUAUGCUUCACAAAGUAGAUUCUUUCAAUUGUUCAAAUGAAAGGUGAUGCAAAAAUUUGAGAUGAUAGUGAGCUACUAGAGUAAUUAAAUGAGUGAUAUAAUAAUUCUUAGGCUAAAAUCUUCAAGAUGAGAAUUGUUGAAGCUCGCUGCAGACUCCUUUACAAACAGCUUUUGAUAUGAUGGAUUAUACAUGGUAAAAUAAAGUCUACUGAUAAGGCUUUGGCAAGAAAGAAACUAACCUGCAAAAGAUGAUUUAAUAGAAUGGGACCUGAAAACUGAGACAGAUCAUGGCAAAUCUACAACAUGGAUAUAUAAUGUCAUUAGAAGCUUCUCAAGUAUCCAUGAACUUUUUUUUUAUAGAUACGGAAGUAUCCAUCAAGCCUUAAAUCCACACUGUUUCUAACUGUUUGCAUCCCCACAAACUAGAACUCCUUACCUUGAAAAAGCCUGCCCCCAACCAGAACCUACAUAAAACACAUUAACAAAGCCAGUGAAUAUAAGAAGGAAAUUAACCAAAUUGAAUUCAGAACUUAUAUAAAAAAAUAGAUAAAUGAAAAAUAUAUAAAAACUAGUUUUUAGUUCAAUUCAACUAUUACCUUCGUCCAAAGCUACAAUUUAGUGCUCUCAGAAGCCAUGGCUUGGACCUUUGAGAUUCUUCAAACCAACAUUCCUGAAACCUGCAAUACUCAAAAUUAUAUGCAUGUAGCACAGUGGAGAUAAAAUAAUGAAAAAACAACUGAUACGGAGGCAAUGAGAAUUGGACCUUUCAAUCAGUGUCUCGGUCUGAUCCCAUGUGUCCAACUUCCAAACAUCUGUUUCAGUGAUGGGUUUUCUGUACCCUAGCUGCAUGAGUGGAGUCAUCCAUCCAAAAUAUAUUCCUAUACAGAUGCACAAGAGAGAAUACUAAAUGUAGCAUACUUGAAAAUACAAAAAGAUAAUGAUAAGAAGUUUUCUUUUGCAUUCAACUCAUAACUCCCGCCUAAUUAAUAUGGAGGCAAUAGCAGACAUUCUCAGCUUAAUCCCAUAAAAAUAUGUUAUGAAAGAAUAAGUGGGAGCCAUUUCGAAACUUUAAAAUUCUGCGUCAAUUAUAGGGAGUUUAAGGCUCCUUACUGGAAAAUAUAUUAACAUGUCGUUCAGGGAAAAUCUGAUCUUCUCCUGGUAGCGUUUCAUAUUCAGCAUUGUCAAGUGACUCAGAUUGCAGAACAACGUACCCAGGAUAAGGUUUCAAAUUGGGAACAUAGAAGAGAAGUAAAAUUCCAAACAACACCUGCAUGAGAACAAUAACAGCAGACCAAAACGUAAACAACUUGUUAUGGAAUGACUUAAAAUAACAAAAAAAUUCUAAACAUCAGUAGGAUUUACAUGUUUGCAUCCUCGGACAAUAAACUCAAUAUGACUAGCUAAAUGUAAGAGAAAACAAAAUAAAUGACAGUAUUUGGGACAAACCUGGCAACAGACAGAGCUUAUAUACAGAUACAGGGAAGAUGACCAGCUAAAUGACAGAACUUAUGUACAUUAAACUCAAUAUGACCAGCUAAAUGUAAGAGAAAAAUAAAAUAAAUGACAAGGACAAACCUGGCAACAGAGAGUGCUUGUAUACAGAUAGAGGGAAGAUCUGCAAGAUUCAGUAAGAACAAAGAUUAUGAGAACGUCCUAUGAAGUCUGAGAAGAUACAGUGAAUUAUUUUUUGCCUAGAGCUAUUAAUUCAAUUUGUUUCUGUAAAUUCUAAUCCAAACAUACAACAAACAUUUUGUUAAAAUUUGAACGUAGGCUGUUAGGACGUGAGACAACAAUUAUCCUAUGCACUAUCGUUCAUCCUCAUGAGUGGACCUGCACAGACUACACUGGAAAAUGUGAUCAACCAAAGGGAAUACAGUAUUAAGUAAGUGAAAAGAAAACAAAAUAACCUGCUAUAGGAAUGUGUCACUCCAAGAAUAAGAUUUAGCACCACAGCAUCUCCUACCAAGACAUAAAGGACUCCAAACCGAACAUACCAUCGGAAUUCCCGAAUGUAAAUCUUAGUUUCCAAGCCAAUUAAGAUUAGCAUAGAGCACCAAGAAACAGCUUCAAUGAUUGAAGAAGCCAUCUGCAAGAACUCAAAUAACAUUACGCAUAUGCUGUAUACAAUCACAUUGGGUUGUUAUUCAAAACUAUUAGAUUUAGUUUUUACAAGCUAUCAACAAUGUAAAACUUUUAAAUGAGCUAUUCAAGAUUCUUUUCAUGUUUGCUUAAUCACAUACUAUUUUGUGUGUGCAUGCUUACAUUUGAAAGACAAAAAUUAAUAAGGCAUGUCGUAAGCAAAUGUUCCACCAAAAGAGGAAAAAAAAUAACAAGAAUAAAAAACCCACCUCAAAAGGAGCAAAGCCAGAUUUUGCAAACGGGUAAAAUAGUGAUAAACCCAUCACCAACCUCAGUAGAGGCCCAGCAGUGGAGUAACCAGCCAACAAUAACAACAAGUAGUUAUAGUAAUUUGACCUCAACCUGAACCUCUGGGCUUUCAAAUUCUUCUUCAUCAUCCAUACUCGAUAGCAGCACAAUCCGAAAAGAACUAAAUGAGAAAUGCAGAUGACCAUAAAGUCCAUUGCACAAGGAGUGUAUGAGCCAAAAGCACUCACUGCUUUGGCCCAUACCCCAUUAGCUUCUGGUUGACAAUACCAGUCUAUUGGCUUAAAACCCAUCUCUGUUAUUCACUACAAACUAACACCACCACUUCCAAUUUCACUCAGCUUUGUUCUCACUCAAUCUCAACAAUUGGUUUCUCACUGCAAUAAGAAAAGGAGAACACCUUUAUUCAAGAUAUUGUCAUUCUGUUAUUGGGUUCCAUAAAUUUUGAUGCUAGUUUCUUUCACAUGCAUUUGCAAUCCAAUUUAAACAAUAACCCACAUGAACCCAGAAGCAAAUGUUUGAGACUUUCUAGUAUAAAAAGUCUAAACCCAAUACUAUGUUGCAUGCAAACACAGCAAAAAGAUACAGUACAAAAGAGAGAAGGGUGGUAAAGCGAGCACCUCUGGAAUGUGCUGAAAACAAAACCUGGGCAAGAGCUUCUGCUAGAGCAGGACUCAUUUGACCAAGAUGAAGUCUGUGAAGAAACAUAUAAAACAAAGUCAUUGGCAAAACGACAGGGAAGAGAUAAGAAAAAGACCAAAGCCAAGUCUUUGAAGAAAAGGAUGAAGUCGUUGGUGUGACAGACUCGCGGACGUGAGUCAUCAUCAUGCUUCUUGUAGUUUGUCAGGUAUUCUGGUAAGCCCAGACCCAUGAUUGGGUGGGGAGUCAUGUCAGGAAAGGCGGUGGCGGCUUCACCUGAGACGUGGCAAUGUUAUGUCAAGUGACCAACUGAGGUGAGUAAAACCGGUUUCACGUUUACUUAUUUAGAAUGGAUAAUCAUAGACAUAAGUGGAAUGAAAGAAGAAAUGAAUCGGUAUAAUUUAGGAUGAUUAUUCAUAAAUUUAUUAUAAUUAAAUUCGUGAGUUAAUAAUUAAUUCCUAAUAAGAAGGUAUGACCACAUGUUAAUUCUGAUUCAUUUACUUGUUAGUAAAUGUAUGAAUAUUUUUAUAUAAAAUCAUUCAUAAGAUAAAAUUAUGGUGUGUUAACGCAUUUUAAGGAUUAAUAUUACCACUUUAUAAACUCAUUUUACAUGUAAUGCAUUAAUAUAUUGUAACAUUCCUCAUAUUGUAGGAAUUUAAUCUACUAUAUUCCUUGUAAGUAAACGUCCCUGAAAGUAACCAAGUUCAUGAUACAAAAACAGAUGCCAAAGAUUUUCUCCUCCCAAUCUGGAUUAAAGCAAGACAAUCUCCUGUGAAAUUAUCUAUUUCUAUUAAAAAAAAACACCAACUCUAUCAAGAAAAAAUACAUGUUACGCUAGAAACGUUACCAUGUAUAUUUUUAGAUUAGAGAUCAAAAGAAUUGAUUACUCUUAGUACAAGGAUACCAAGUUGCUUAAAACUCUCGCCUUUUAAUGCCUGUAUUCAUUAUUUUGCUUCAACUUUCCAAAGGCUGCACAAAAAGUUGCAGUGGAAACAAACCUUUAAUUGUCAGAAAUACGAAUGUACUUGAAGAUAGCUUCAGGCAGGUCUACACAAAUUGUCUUAGGUUUUCCAUCAUAUAAGAUCAUGAAGUAGGAUAUGGUGAACCAGUUUGGCAAAGGACCCAUUUAUUCCCAGAAGGUCGCACCAAUUAAACAUUUACAGAAGCGGACACCUUUGGAUGUCGUGUGUCUAUCUCCCUCAUCAUAUAAAGCGACUAGAAAAAUUUGUAGAAUCUAAAUUACAAAAAUCAGAUACCAUAUAUGAAGAUUGGUGUGAUGGUAAGUUAUCUGAAGCUGUUUGAAACUUCAUAGCUAUACCAGAGUCACCAUUUUCUACAUGUCAGCAUGGUCCCAGUCGAUCGAUCUGUCUUCAAAACCAAUUUCUGACUGGUGAAGCCUAUUCCUCGACAGUCUACUCAUUACAGCAAGACCUGUACAGAGAAAAGAUGAACAUGAGCAUUUUAUCGUUCGAGUUCUUACAAAAUUGAAAAUGAAUGCAACAAGAGUCACAACUGUACCUUCAACCAUUCGGUAAAGAGAUGACCACCACCCAUCUCUUGAGAUCUGGUACUGAUCAAGUGACUCUUCAAUAAGUUUGUCAUGUUUCCCUUCCAAGACUCCUCGGAGAGUUAUUACAGCGUCCUUCGUCUUAAAGAGAAUACUGUCCUGGUCUUCAAACUCCAACCUUUGAAGGUCAUUCUGGGAUGAAGUAAGGCUAACAGCAACUGCAAACUGGGCAGCUGCAGCCCAGCGAGAUGAGGCCAGCCAUCUCCUCUGUCCAUCUAGUUGGUUGUUAUCCACUCUUCUGUUUUCUCCUCCCUCCCCAAGGACCAAGCUUCUUAAAUAUUGUGCAUUUGCUGCGCCUGUGCUUUGGACCAUUUUAGAGAAAGCACUUCUCUCAUUUGACAGCAAGUGCUCUGGAGUGUCAUAUUCUCGAACCUGGAAACAUGAAACAUUAAAAAUUUGCUAUCAACAAAAGAAUGAAGUAAAACCAGCUACUAGGUUUUGAACUUCAAAAGCGAGGCUUUGGUACAUAUGAUUCAAAUUUGCAGGUAUCCCAUAAGACUCAUAGAACUCUAAUUAAAUCAUACCCGGCCAUUAUCAAGCAGAAGGAUUCGGUCACAGUCAAUAAUGGUAUUUAGACGAUGAGCAAUAAUGAGCAUUGUACAGGAUUUAAAUUCUUCACGAAUAGUUUUCUGAAUAAGAGCAUCAGUUCUGACAUCGACAGCUGCAGUUGCUUCGUCAAGAACAAGUAUUUUUGAUCUUCUCAAUAGUGCUCGAGCAAGACUCAAUAGUUGACGCUGUCCAACACUGAAAUUCUCUCCCGACUCCGAGACCUUGACAUAUCAGAAGGAAGGUUACUUAGGGAUGAAGGUACCAUAUUGUAAACUUGUAAUUAGGGUAUCAAUAGGAAAGAACAUACUGCAAAUCUACACAAAACAGACAUCAAGUAAACAAAGUUGAGCAUGUACCUCGGCAUAUAAACCCAAAGAAUUCCUCCUGAUGGCAUCCUUCAAAUGUGCCCUCUCUAAAGCCUCCCAUAGAUCAGCGUCAUUAUGUUCUUGAAAUGGAUCGAGAUUGAAUCUCACGGUUCCUAGGAAAAAUAGAACAGAAUGAUUAGAAUAAAAAGAAUUUUACACGAACAUGUUGUGACAAAAACAUAGCUCCCCGCCCCACCCCCGCUCGGCAGAAUCAGAUCAGAAAAAACAAAGGGUCUUGUACCCACGGAUCUUUGAGGUAGUGUUACUACAUUCACAUCUUUAAAAGCACAGAUAUAUGAUUAAACUACUAGAAAAAUGACUAGAAUGGCAUACCUGAAAAUAGAACGGGUGCCUGUGGAAUAAUACCAAGAACUUUCCGUAGAUCUUCGAGUCCAAACUUACCGAUAUCACAACCAUCAAUCAAAAUUCUUCCUCUCUCUAAUUCAACAAUUCGAAAUAAAGCAUUUAGCAUGCUGGACUUCCCUGCCCCAGUCCUUCCAACUAUUCCGACCUUGUCGCUAGGAGAAAUUGUGAAAGACAAGUCAUGCAAAACUGGAGGAAGUUCAGGUCUAUAACGCAGAGCAACAUCUUCAAACUUAAUAGAUCCAGAUGAAGGCCAUCCUGGUGGGGGGCGGUUGCUCUCAAUUACAGCAGGAGCUUCAGAAGGCAACUCUAUAUAUGUACCAACCCGCUCAACAGCAUUUAAGCUAUUCUCAGCCAGACUUGCAAGUCUCAAUACACCAGUCAUUAGACUUGUAAUAUUAAGAGCAUAACUAAGAAGUAAACCCAUAGUGGCUGCAAACUCCUGUUGAUUCUCAGCCCGUCCAUUCUGCAUAACCGCAAAGGUAGCUGUAAACCAUAUCAUGAGACCUCCCAAUGUUUCCAAACGGAUUGCGAGCCACCGAUUUGCACUUAUAUUCACCAGCGUGAAUCUGAUAUUGUUGUCUACAGACUUUCCAUUAAUGUCUGCCAUCCGAUCAUAAGCCUUAUAUGCACGAAUUGAGGAUAUACCAUUCAAUGCUUCUCCAAAUUGAGCAUAAACAGGGGAUCUGCUGAUGGAGUCCAAGCGCUUCACCUCUCGGGCCAUGCUCUACCAAAGAGCAAAAUAAAAUAAUUCAUUAGAUAAGUGUGAGACAAAAAUGAAAAAACUGGAAAAGACAUGAUUAAUUCUCACACGCCUAGAAAACUUUUUUGCAAUUUAUUAAAAAGAAGUCAAUUGAAUUAUAUAGAACUAACAGUAAACUGAUCUGUUGCGUGAUAUAUUACGGAAAAAAAGAUUUUGUACGUGCCAAGCACAUCAAACAAGAUUCCAGUGGAUGGUUUCACAUACCUGAUAAUAUAAAUAGGCUGCAUAAAACAAGACCAGAAGAGGCAGAAUGGCCCACAAGGACAUAGUGCUCACGAUCCCUAUUAAUACGAAAGUAGAAAAAAGCUGAGACACUUGACCAAGAAACAUGUUUACAAAUGGAGCGACAUUCCGAUCAAUAUCUCCAAGAUCCUUUGCAAAUCUAUUGAUUAUCCUGCCAAGGGGAUUGGUCUGGAAAAAGACCAUAGGAGCUCUUAAUAUGGACCCAAGCAUGGCAUCAUGCAACCUCCUGGCAGCAUAAAGACUAGAAAUAAUCAACCAAUAAGAGUUUGCCAGUGUCACCAUAACCUGAAACCAAGAUAUAUAUAUUAGGACAUAUUACUACAAAAUUAGAAAUUUCUAAUCCAAGACUGAACAAGUUAUAUGUCUUACUGUAACCUCACCUGACCAACAGAUAGAAGAGCAUAUAUCAGAUUGUAGAAACCAGGGUCAUAUGUCCCUGACAUGCCUUGAUUAGUCCAAUGACUCAACCACGUGCUACUUGAAACUCGUAGAACCUCAGUUGAAAUAUAGCAUGUAAAGAGUAUGAGAACCACCCACAAGCCUCCUAAUGCAUUCUUAUACCUACACACACAAAAUAACUAGAUUAGGUAAUUAAUUAAUUCAUGUUUUAUGGUAUACUAAAAUACUGUGCUUAUGUGAAUUCAUAGAGGUCCUUCUCAUACUGAGUAUAACACUGAUGAUCUCCACAUACAUCCUAACCUAGAUUUCUUUAGGAGAAUCUUCUGGGAAAUCUUAAAUCAGAAAAAAAAAAAAAAAAAAAAAAAAAAACUUAAAAGCGUAACAAUACUAAAUUACUAUUGAAAUUCUGAUUACCUUGCCAAGACCUUCACGCUGACUACUCCUGUUUCCCGUUCCUCUUGUUUAAUGAGAACAGAUUUUCCUUCUUUUUGUUUAUUUGCAUGGCUUGCAGUUUUUGACAUAUCAUGGACUACCCCAUUGGCAAUAGGUUUCGAAGAGGCAUUAUGAUCAAUCGUGACGCCAUUCUGAUCAACAAUUUCAUCAUCUUCUUUCUCUUCCGCAUAUUCUUCCAUCUUUCCCGCAUUUUCCAUUAGCCUUUGGAACAGCACACCAUUGUUGGAAAGCUCCUCAAAUGUUCCCUCCUCUUUCACCAUUCCAUCAUGAACCAAAAUGAUUCUAUCAACUUGGGAAAGAAAAUGUAGCUGAUUGGUAACAAGGACUCUGGUUUUCCCUCUUAACUCUCCCUUGAUGCAUUUAUCAAAAACCUAGAGAGAUAAAUUGUAUAAAUAAGACAAGUAUACAACAUAGAUAGUGCAUGCAGGUAAAUUAUAGAAAGGAAUACAACAAAGCAAAGUAUGUAGAAGCAACAAGGAUGACAAAGCUCCUUAGGUGAAACAUUAGAGUUAGAAGUGAGAAAGUAACCUGUCGAGCCACAUGAGCAUCAAGGGCACUUAAGGGAUCAUCAAAAACGUAUACAUCAGAAUUGGAGUAGACAGCCCUAGCCAUAGAGACUCUUUGCUUCUGUCCACCACUAAUAUUCACUCCUCUUUCACCAAUCUCAGUCAGGUCACCACCCUAAAGAAUCAACAGGUGACACAAGUGAGGAACUUAAACAACAAACUGCUAGGUACAAGGGAAAUUUUCGAUGUAUAAUAAAAACUAGCAGAAAGAAAGAACUUUCUAACAGCACUUACAGGCAAUAAGUCAAGGUCAUGCCGCAAUGCAGUCACAUCAAUUGCCUUCUGAUAUCUUGAAGACUCAAAGAACGAUCCAAAUAAAAUGUUGUCACGUACCUGCCAACAUAUAUACAUAUAUAACUCAAUACUUUGCAGGAGAAAGUAGAUUGCAUAAUGAUUGAUUUAACACUGAAGGUUCAAUUGACUACUGUAUUCAACUAACUUAUCUUGAAAACUAAAACAGAUCUAUCAUUGUUGAUGUCAAGUUUUCGAGGUUGACAGGAGCAGAUCCACACAAAUACUUAUCAGAAAGGUGUAUAGGCAUCAAAACUUACGGUUGCAUUAAAAAUCCAUGAAACUUGUGGAACAUAAGCAACCAUUCCUCUCAUUACAACACUUGUAUCUGCUACAGAAGGAAGCUCCCCUAGCAUAGCAGAUAUAAGUGACGUCUUCCCUUCACCAGUACUGCCAACAACUGCGACCAAGCUCCCAACAGGAAUAUCCAAAUUAAUAUUUGACAGCGUGGGCUUCUCUGCCUGAAGGACAACAUAUACUUUCAGGUCCGUUAGCAAACAAAUGUGAAACUAACCACCACAACUUUAAGUAUAAGCAAGCCAUUACAAAACAAGCAACAUUAUAGAUGAUACCUUUGAAUCCCAAGAAAAGAAUCCAUUCUUAAUUGAGAUGGCUGGCAGUACUGGAUCAAGAGGAGGAUUUGG
rnacentral:lncRNA from 1 species